UUAAGGUGUUUCCUGCCUGGUGAUAUCUGGACACCUAUAGAGAAUCGUCUAUACCAGUUAAGGUGUUAUUUUCUUACCUUUUUUAUAAGCAACCCCUGAAUUAAGCAUUUUAUCCCUCCAUAAAUUAGAAAAUUAUAGAUAUCUUUCAGUCCAAUAAACAUCCUCUACUACUAACACAUGUCUACAAAAGACGAUAUUAUAAAAAUAAUUUCUGAAAUUCAACUAAUAUGUGUCCGCCCCUAAAGUUUUCAUAUGCUUCUACAAAAGACUGUCUCUGUUUAUUUUAUUUUCAUACAAAUAGUUUUGAUAUUAUGUUUUACUGAUUUUGAUUAUAUAAAUAAAUUAGUAAUUACAAAACCAGAUUCCGAAAGUCAUAGCAAAAACUAUUGUCAUUCGAGGCUUAUAGCUUUAUCUUCCUUAUUAUUAUAAUUGUUAAUAGCAAAUAAUUUUCCUUAUAAAUAAAAAGGAAAUUCAAAAGUUCUAUUUGGUGAACAAAAUAAUCUCACCAGUAUCUUCAUAAAUAUUGUAAAAAUACAACAUUUUCUUUUGUUUCAAAAAGAGGUAUUUUUUAAAAAUCUUCACACUUACGAAGAAAAUAUGUUAAAUUUUAGUUACUAAUGUAUUAUUUUUGUAAUUAACUAUUUUCAUAACUUGUAAUUAAUAAAAUUUUAAUAAAUACAAUUAUAUUUUGAAGUUUAUAAUUUAUUAUUAAUUAAUGUAUUACAAAUGUAAAAAUGUACUUUUUGAAACAUAUUUUUUCUAAAACAUGAAUUUUUUCGGAAGAAAUAUUAUAAAAUAUUAUUAAGUCAACCAUUCAAAGUGGCACUGCAAAUUUUUAAGUCCUUUAAUGUGACCACGUCGACAUUAACAAACAAACAAUAAUAAACGGUAACAUUAUUUUAUCUAAAACUAAAAAUAUAUUAUUUCUGCUUAGAAAACAUGUUAUUUUGGAGGUCAUUUACGUUUUUAAAAGAAGUGUUAUUCUAUUUUAAUGUCUUUUCCUACUUAAUUCAUAUUCUACCUUUGACCAAAAAAAAUAGUAACCAUAUAUAUUUAGUUUAUGGUAUAUCAAUUAAAUAAGAAUAUACAUGUGUUAAAAGAAGUUCGUAUUUUAGAACAACAUUUGCUACAAAAUAUAUGCAAUACCAAACUAUCACAUUUAGUUUGCUAUUUUACAUUUUAGAUUCUAAAAGUAAAAUAUGAAAAUAACUAAAUAUGAAUUAAAUUAAUUAAACUGAAAUGUUGUUAAAAUAUCAGAAAUCUUGUGUAUGUGUGUCUAUUAUUCGAUUGAUUUUUUAAUUUUCUAAAACAAAUGACGAACAUGUUUUUUUUUCGUUUUGGACAUUGUAAAUGUUUAGACAAACGUCCCCGAUUAUUAAGUUGUCUUUGCCUAAUAAACACCAGGUAUAAUUAGACAUAAAUAUAUGUGCCCAAAAAAUUGAUAUCAAUGUGUCUUUUGAGAACAUCAAAAAGACUAUGCUUUACAAUUGUUUGGUUCGUUUUAGUCAAAAAAAAUUGUUUGGUUCGUUUCCAAAAAGUACGACGUACAUAACAAUUUCAUUUAUCUUUUGCAGUGAUGUAAGGUAUCUUUCACUUUCGAUUCCCCUCUUCGCAUUAUCUAUUCGUAAUCUUUCUUUAUGUUAUAAACCUUCAUUCAUUUUUUAGUUGUAUAUAUAGGCAUAGUUUUCAUCUGCAAAUGUAUGUUCACUAGGUUUCAACAAACAAUUGCAAUAUUAGAAUGUGAACACAUGAAAGCAGAUACCAUGUAAUUCUUAACUCUUGUGGAGUAGAAACAACAAUUUAUUCCUACGUAACUACGUUACAUCUUACACUUUAACCAAUCGUUACACAUUUUCAAAGCAUAAAAUUUCAUAAACUCACCAAUGAUCUUCGUAAAAUCCAGGUUCUUAUUUUGAAUGGAUAUACUAUUCUAGUUUCUUCAACUGUCGUUAUGGAGCGGAUUAGUUGGUAUAACCUCUUUUCGUGUAUAUACAUCAAUACAUCUAAUUCUAGCAGAUGUACUAUGGUUUUGUCUCCCAAAGUCAAAAAUCCGUGGUAAUAUGGUUUUGUCACCCAAGUCAAAAAGAAUUGUUAAUUAUUUUCCUCAUUUAGAAUUUAACUUUUUAUUUAAAAAGUUUGAGGGAGCUUGUGCCGCCCAUCGGUCAUCAUCUAUCCUUUACUUCUUUUACGACAUUUUUGCUGUUUAUUUUCUUUCGUGGUUUUAAACAUUGGGUGCGACCAGAGACACUUAACUUAUUGGAUAACAUAAGUCCGGUUAACUUAACUAGAUGAGUAUCGUUUAAUUAUUGUUACAUCCGAGAUCGAAACUGGUUCUAUUUUCGUUAUCUGAAAAUCACCGAGUUAUUUCAAUACUUCAAAUGUGAUUAAUUUAACUAUAGUUAGAUAAAUUGGUAUUCUUGCCUUCUACGGUUGGACAAAUUGAAAAAAAAGUUAUUUUAUUUUUCUAAGUUAUGAUUUAUCUAUAAAACCAAACUACGUCAUACAGAAAAUAUAGCAAUUGUUUCACCGUUUUGUGACAAGUGGACGACGUCUUUAUUACCAUCCAAUUGUGUCAUAUUUUUCUCCUAAACACGUUAAUUAAUUUCAUAGUGAUGAAAUCGAAACGCCCAAACCGAUAAUUCUAACAUAAUUAAUCCUCUUUAUAAAUGAGAAGAAGACAACUUCAGGAAACAUAUACUCAAUUAUUGUUUAACAUUCUAUUAUUGAACAAGUUGUCAUUCCUAUGUUUGGUCAACCAUGGCCUUUGGGAUCCUCCGAAGGAUUCAUACCCAAUAAAAUGAAUCAGUAUUUUUUUUUCCGCUCGUCACCUGCUGGAAUAUAUGUAUCAUAUAGUUAUUAUUAAAUCAUUAAAUUUGUCAAUGUUAGUAUGUUAUAUAUACAGUAGACCCUACAUCAUCAUUUAUUAUCAUCUAUCAAGUUAAUACAACUAAAUCAAAAUAAAUACCAUGGUUGAUUUUGCCUCGAGGUUUCAGGUUUUAAUCAUACAAAAGUGUUGGUAAAUAUAUACUGACUGAACUAUACGGCUGUUAUAAAUUUAAGUUUUAGCCAUAUAAAUUUUUGUAUUGUAUAGAUAGCUUUUUAUCAUUUACAGUAACAAGUUAAACUAAUUUAGCUAAAACGUGAGCAAAAGCAAAAGUUAAAAAAAAAACUUAGCAAAAGUUAUAGUUUCGUUUUUGAAAAAGAUAUUGUUGUUCGUGCUAAUAGUAAUAUGGAUUCAUCCUCUUGAAAUAACAGUCAACGCUGUGGUAGAAUCUCUGGGGUCCUACAAGUGUCACGUGCCAAAAAAUGGGCCCUGAGAUAUACCUAUAAGCUAAGCCAGCUCCGCCCAAAAAUUAUGAACCGUCCAUUUUAACUAUGAUUAUCUUAUAUUGUAGUACUAAUAAUAAUUCUACAGAUUUUUUUUUUUUGACAACAUUCUACAGAUUAUUUACCAAUUUAAUUCCGUUGAAGAUAAUAAAUUUGGUUCACCACUCGUUCUGCUCUUCUUUAUCGAUGGGACUCCUCGUUGUCACUUGUCAUCAUUUUUUGGUCUUCCGCAACCUUUGGAUGGGUAUAUUUACGUAAAUAUAGCAAUAUGAACACUUAAAAGUGUUUUUUUUAUGGGUGAAAUUUCAUCGAUCUCCCUAUCGAUAAUGGGAGACCUAGAGAUAUAUCAUGACGAAGAGUUUGCAAUAGUUUUUUUUUCUGAAUUUCAUAUUUAAGCAUGAAAAUCUAUUAAUUAGUUUUAGAAAUUAAUAUAAAAUAUAUGUUGCUCAGAAAGAAGUAAAGUAGACGUAUGUUUAGCAUCAUUCGUAAUUUUUUUUUUUUUUGCACUUUCUUAGAGAUUCAUUGUUUAAAGGGGUGUUAAGUAGAAAUUCGAUUCAUCAUGAUUGUUAGAGUUUAUAGAAAUCUAGUGUUAUUAGUUUAGGCAUUCUCACAGUUUCAUUAAACUCUAAUAUUAUAAACUCUAAUAUUAUUGGCCUGAUGAUUUAAUAAUUCUAUACUAAAAAUUUUGUUAUUAAAAAAAUUUAGAUUUUAAUGAUUUUUUAAAUCUAUUAAAAUAGAUGUUAUUGGGAAUUGUAUUCUUCACCAUUUAAUUUAUAACACAAGAUUUUGAGAAUAUUACUUAUAUAUCUUAGAUUCUUACAAUCAUUAUAUCAAUUUAUUUUCAUAGAAUUUUAUAAAUCUAUAAAUUUUUUAAAUUCUCUACAAUUUAAUUAGAUUCAUUUAUAAAAUUCUCUACAUUUUUUUCUAAAUUUAACAAAUCUCUCAAAUUUUAAAAUCAACAAACUCUAUAUAAAUCUUAUUCCCACUACCACCCCCUUAAACUUUUGUAUUGGAUAUUUUACAUAGACUCUGAGACUGAUCAACUGAACUAGUUAACUUACUUUCUAUAAAAAAUGAAACUUAAAAUUUGAAAAUGUGUUGUUCUCGGGUGUUUUUUUGCUCAUAUUUUUUAGAGAAGGAAAGAGAAUCACCAAUUUGAAAUAAAAAGAAAGAACCAGAACCAUUAAAGUUGCAAGGCUACUUCUUUAUCAAAAAAUAAAGUUGCAAGGCUACUAACUAAAAGAGCAAAUUAAACUAUAUAGUUCAUGAAAUUCAUAUGACUAUUAUUAGACACUUUAGAUUAGUUUAUUUCACUUUAACACUAAAACCUAAAAAUUUCAUUUUCAAAACAAAACUAAAAGUAUAAUAUUAAUCAUAUUGCAGCAUGACUCAUUUUAGUGGCGUCUAAGAAGCAUGCAUUUUGAGCCAUUAGAUACCAAGGUAGACUUUCCCAUUAACACAAAAGAAGAAAGUUGGUACAUUAAUGUAAUCAUACCAACUCCACGAGUCUUUGGUUUCAAUUUUGUACAAAUACUUAAGUUUUAGCACACAAAAAACAAGUACGUAUGACUUGACAGAUUUUCAUACGAUUUAAUAGAAUUGUUAAUACUAUUUGAUAAAUUAUAUCGAAUGUAUAAAUAUUUCUGAAAGUUCUGUGCCUGUUUCUUAAAAAAAAAAAUUCUGUGCAUGUCAUUUUGAUCUUUGGUUUAGAAGCGUCAGUUUACAUGUGUGAAGUGCAUGCACAUGAUUCUCAAAUUAGAACCAAAAGAAAAAAGAUUAUAAUGAAAUUACACAAAUUAGUAUUCUUAUACAGAAUGCAAAAUAAUAUACAAAUGAAUACACUAUCUAGGCUUUACUCUUUAGCAAACUCUACCACCAAUUUUAUGUUAAAAAAAUAACACACAUAAUAUAUUAUUACAUUUUUUCAAAGACGACAAAACAAUUAUAUAGUACUGCCUAAAUUUUUUUUGGUGAUGUACUAUGGAACACCAAAAUGAUCCUACAAGUAGAGCUUGAUAUUUAGCAAACGAAAACAAAAGGACGGGAGAAAAAUAGAAGAAAAAAAAACAUACCCGAGAAUAAUGUAAAUAGACAAUAAUGAAAAUUGAAAAUACAUUUAUAACUCCUCGACCAAUUAUCUAUACUAUUAAAAGAGAAGAAGUCUUAAAAAAUCUACUUAAACAAGGUUGUUAGACCAUUUCAUUAGAUUUAACUAUUUUUUUGGUCUUAUCUUAUAUUUCUCUAACUAUAUGAAUACUUUACAUAUUUAAAUGAAUUUAUUUAUUAUUCACUCAUAAUCUAUUAUAUAAUUACUCUAACAAUAACUCUUCAUAAAUAUAUAACAGAAUAUUCAAACAUGUUUACACAUGACCUGAUCAUUACCACAUAUAGUUCCAUUAACAGUAUAAAAAUUGGGGUUUUUGCCAAAACUAACUCACAACUUGAUUUUAACUCCAAACUUAUACCCAAACUUGAAUCAAAUGCAAAACUAACCUAAAAGCCUAGUGAAAUUACAGCUCAGCCCCUUGUGACCAAACAAAAAAACAGAAGCCAUUUUUACGAAUAUAGCCCUAGUAAAUCGUCUGAGUCGUCUGAGAUGUUGGAAGUCGUCUGGACGACUGAAGUGUAAGUCGUCUGGUACCGGUUUAUUUUAAAAAUAAUUUAUAAAUCUUGUAAAAAAAUAUUUUGAUGCGUGAAAAAUAAAAACCAAGUAAUUAUAAACAGUUUUAAGUGAUAUAAAUUAAGAUAUGAUAAAAUUGAUUUGUUUUAAAGAUAGAUGAGAGGAAGUAGUGAAUCAUGAAAUACUUUGGUUUAGGAGUUUGGCAAACAUAUGUUGUAGUAUUGUAUGUAUUGUUAGGGUUAGAUUUUGGAAAACUAAAAUGUUUUUUUCAAAAAUUAGUUUUCACCUAUAUGUGUUUAUUUAUGUGUAUAGUAAACACUUUUCAAGUUUGAUUUGAUUUUAUGAAGUCUUUAAUUAGAUAAUUAAGUUUAGGGGUUAUGUUUAGGGUGUGGACGACUUAUAUUUCAGUCGUCUGUUGAAUAAUUUACUCGGACGACGUAUAUUUCAGUCGUCUGUUGAAUAAUUUACUCGGACGACUUACAUUUCAGUCGUCUGGUGAAGAAAUUAAAACAAAUGACUUACAUGUAAGUCGUCCAAAUAUUCCCGCCUAAAAUUUCUUAAAAAAAUUAUUUUCCCGCUUAAAUAAUUUAAACCAGACGACUUACUUGUAAGUCGUCUGGAAAGUCUUCUAUUUUAGUUUCCCGCUAAAAAUAUUUAAUUUCCCGCUAAAAAUAUUAAACUCUUCUGGACGACUUACAUGUAAGUCGUCUGUUUUAAUUUCUUCACCAGACGACUGAAAUGUAAGUCGUCCAGGAAGUCGUCUGAGUCAAAAAUAUUUAACCUAAUUGGAUUUUUUGUCUCCCUAUAUAAAGAAAAAUUUACACAUUCUCUCUCCUCCUCUCAAAUGGCUGCAACAAAAAUGUAAUGUUCAUCAUUCUAAAACUCUCCAACCUCUCUCUAAUCUCUUUGACUUGAAAACACCAAACUUUAUAUGAAUUUUUCAGUUUUGUCUCAUGUAUUUCUUACUAAUCUAUCUCUUUUGCAGGUUUUUAAUCAAAUGGUACUCAUCUUCCACUAAUUUAAAGGUAAAUCUAUUAAUUUUAGAUAUGUAUUUUUGUGUGUUCUAUAAAUGUAGAUUUAUCUAAUCUUCCACUCAUUUUCUCUAUUUUUAAGUCAUUUGAACGUUUUUGGAUAUGCAGGUUUUUCAGAUCUGGAUUUGAUAUGCAGGUUUUUCAGAUCUGGAAGACUUCUUGGACGACUUACCUGUUAGUCGUCUGGAAGUCGUCUGGAAGUCGUCUGGACUUCUUGGAAGUCUUCUGACAAAGUCGUCUGGACUUCCAGAAAGUCGUCUGGACUUCAAGGAAGUCGUCUGGACUUCCAGGAAGUCGUCUGGACUUCAAGGAAGUCGUCUGGACUUCCAGGAAGUCGUCUGGACUUCAUGGAAGUCUUCUGACGAAGUCUCCCUUUCAUAAUAGAUCUGAGCGUUUUGGUAAGUUCUUAUGUUUGAUUUUUCUUUAUUUGGUAACUUCUUGUUGUAUAAAGUUCUUACUUUUUUCCCAAACUAAAACUCUCCAAACCCACUCUAAUCUCUUUGACUUGAAAACACCAAACUUUAUAUGAAUUUUUCAGUUUUGUCUCAUGUCUUUCUUACUAAUCUAUCUUUUUUGCAGGUUUUUAAUUAGAUGGUACUCAUCUUCCACUAAUUUAAAGGUAUAUCUAUUAUUUUUAGAUAUGUAUUUUUGUGUGUUCUGUAAAUGUAGAUUUAUCUAAUCUUUCACUCAUUUUUUCUGUUUUUAAGCCAUUUGAACGUUUUUGGAUAUGCAGGUUUUUCAGAUCUGGAUUUAAUAUGCAGGUUUUUCAGAUCUGGAAGACUUCUGGGAUGACUUACCUGUUAGUCGUCUGGAAGUCGUCUGGAAGUCGUCUGGACUUCUUGGAAGUCUUCUGAACAAAGUCGUCUGGACUUCCAGAAAGUCGUCUGGACUUCUUGUAAAGUCGUCUGGAAGUCGUCUGAACUUCCUAAAAGUCUUCUGACAAAGUCGUCUGAACUUCCUGGAAGUCGUCUGGACUUCUUAGAAGUCGCCUGGACUUCUUAAAAGUCGUGUGGUCUUGUCUACUCAAGUGGAAUCCAAGCUUGUCUUUGUAGAGGAAUGAUCUAUAAUAGUUUUGUUUGUGGUCUGUUUUGUGAAUUGCAUGUCUACUCUUUUAGUUGUGAAUUUUUUGUAAAAUCAGUAAUAAUGUUUUCCAAGAUGUAUUAAAUGUGCUAACAAUGUGUUUACACAUUUACAAAUCAAUGAAAUAAUAGAUUUCAGUAGCCUUUUUCUUAUCUUUGGAUCUCUCAUAUGCAAUAAUAAACUCCAAUGGCCUUUUUCUCAUCUUAAUAAACAAGAAUGUUGGUAGCUUUAUAUUGAUACAACAUUUUAAGAAGCAUUUUAACCCUUCUUCCAACUCAUAACAAUAGUCAUCAUUAUUGUCUAUAACAAUAAUACUUAAGAGAUGGAAACAAACAAUAGUAACUAGUCAAAGCAUAUCAUAUUUUAUUAUAAGUUUACGUUGAAAAACUUUGUCAAAUUUAGUAAAACUAAGGGAGAGAACAUAUUUUGUAAAUAUGAGUUUUACAUAUCAUGAAGUUACUUAUCACUCUUAAAAAUACAAGUUAUUCAAAAACUAACGUAGAAGACUUAAAAACUAGCGGAGAAGACGCGGACGACUUCAAUCUAAGUUGUCCAGACGACUAAACUAUACGUCGUCUGGUCAACGCAGAGGUUAUUUUUGCAAUUGACUUUGAAAUCUGUUAUUUCGGACGACUGAAAAAUAAGUCGUCUACUAUUGUUUGGCUAAAAAAAAACUCCAAAAAAGCUAGACGACUUACAUUUCAGUCGUCAUAGGUUAGUUUUGCAUUUGACUGGAUUAUUUCAGAAGUUUGACUUUUCUGGACGACUGACAUUUCAGUCAUCUAGUGAAAAUUAAAAUAAUAAUAUUUUUUAAAAAGUAGACGACUUACAGUUAAGUCGUCAUAGGUUAGUUUUGCAAUUGAAAAAAAAAAACUUCAAGAUUUAAUUAUAUACAGACGACUAUAAUUCAGUCGUCCACGAGACGACUGAAAUGUAAGCCGUCCAGGAUUUACGAGGUUUGACCAGAAUCUCGGAAAAAAAUCCUGGACGACUUACAAGUAAGUCGUCUCGUGGACGACUGAAUUAUAAGUCGUCUGUGUAUAAUUAAAUUUUGAAGUUUUUUUUUUCAAUUGCAAAACUAACCUAUGACGACUUAACUGUAAGUCGUCUACUUUUAAAAAAAUAUUAUUAUUUUAAUUUUCGCCAGACGACUGAAAUGUAAGUCGUCUGGGGAAGUCAAACUUCUGAAAUUAUCCAGUCAAAUGCAAAACUAACCUAUGACGACUGAAAUGUAAGUCGUCCAGGUUCUUUGGAAAUUUUUUUGAAACCAAACAAAAACAGAUGACUUAACUUUCAGUCGUCUCAGGUUACAGAUUUCAAAGUCAAUUGCAAAAAUAACCUCUGCGUUGACCAGACGACUUCCAGGUAAGUUGUCUACAGCCAGACGACUUCCGAAGUAAGUCGUCUGACGAACAGAUCUGGAAAAAAACUCGAUGUCAUACCUUAAAUUGGUGAGAUAAGUUCCUUAGCAUACAUAAGGCUUCUCCAAGCACACAGAAUCACAAACGAAAGUAACCCACCCAGAAUCGUUAGCUUCUAUGACUUUAUGAACCAUAAAAAAUUUAGAAUCAAAAUCUUGGGUUUUUUUAGCUCAUUGUGGAGAGAAAGUGAGAGAUAUGUUGUGUUUAGUUCACAAGAAUGGAAAAAGAAGAAGGGUAAAUCAAUUUUGGGAGCAUUAAGAGCUUCAAGUUGGUUGUUCAUGGUGGUUGUGGUAUUGAUGACAAUGGCAAUCUUGUAAUUACUUGAAAAUGAUGAGGGUGAGAGAGUAAAAAUGUCAUUUUCGAAAAAAAAAGAAAAAAAAAAUUGAUGGCAUUUUCGUAAAUUAUAUGAACUUGUGGGGUGAAUAGGGCAAAACCAAUUUUCAAAAAAAAAAAGAGGUUAUUUUUGUGUUUGACUUUAAGUUAUAGGUCAAUUCUGCAAAAAGCCCAUAAAAAUUUCAAUGGUUAAGUUAUUUUUAAUAUAGAUUGUAAUGGAGAAUCCUAUGAUGUAUAACAAUUUUUUUUUCAUUUUUACAUGAAUUGGAAACUAAAAACCUUAAUGUCAACUAUUCAAUUAUGAAACAUUAAUUUAAUUAAUUACAUACAAUCAAUUAUUAAGAUUUGAUCUUACAUUCUUAUAUAUGAACUAAAUGAUUAAUAUUAUCAUAAAAAUAUCAAAUGGUUCUAAACGGGUUAGAGAUUUAAAUGGAAUUAGUAAAAAAGAUAUUGGUUUAAAUAUAACAUAUUUAUUUAAUUUACAAAUUCUAACAAUGCAUAUGAUACGUUUUAUUGAAUUUUCACAAAUGUAAAAUAUCUUACGCUUUAAAUCGGGUAGUUUAAGUUGUUUGGAAAAAAAUAUAGGAUAAAUAAUUAACUAUUAAUUAUUUGAAUAAAAAUAUUUGAGUCACUAAUUUUUUUUUGCAUAAUUUAGUUUAUAAAUAGUAUUUUUAGGAUAUUUGGUUAUCUAGAAGUUAAAUAUAAUUAAUAUUUAUAGGAAUAUAAUUAAUAUUUUAAAAUUUUAAGUACUCAUUUGGUUCUCAGUUCGAUUUAUAUUUUUCGAUUCUAAAAGUAUAGGAUAUGUUCGGUUAUUUAUGAAAUUCAGAUUAAUUUUGUUUUGUUUUUUUUUUCAGUUUGAUAUGGUUCAGUGCACCCGGUAAAUGUACACAAACCUAUACAUUAUCUUAUAUAUAAAUUAUAUAAGAAGAAUUUAUUUAAUUUUGAAAAUAAACCCGCACUUUUUAAGCGCGGAUCAAAAUCUAGUUUUUAGUUAUUUUCCAUAGCUCAGAAGAAAAACCCAAAAUAUGUCAUUUCCACCAAAAUAAGUAACUCCUCAACCAAUUAUUUCGUUUUAGGUUUAUGCACAAAGAUUAAAAAAACAUUUAAUUUUGUAUAUUUUUAAAAUAAAAUUAUAUUAUCUAUACACCUAACCAUAUUUCAACCAAUAAAAAAAUAAAAUGGAUAAUAUGAUUAAUAAAUUUUCCAUUAAAAUUAUAAAAUGAAACUUAUUCUAAAACAAAAAUUUUACUUUACAACGACAAUUAAACUGAAAUAGGGAAAGUAAUAUUUAGCAACACUUUUUUUUUCUUCGCAUAUUUAUUCUCCCCCAUUCUUUAGAAACAUAAUAAUAGCUCAUGAUGGUGUGUAAAAUUGAUGCGCCUGAUGCCAUUGAGUCACUGACAAAAUGACCAAUGACUUUUCACUUAAAAGUUCACACCCACAGUUCCAAAGUAAGAGGAAGUGGUAAUAUUUGGCUUUGGGCUCUCCCGAAUCAAACAACACUCAUCAGAGUCCCGCGUGUGCCACUAUUUUCUUCCAUUUUUUUUAUUUUAUGUAUAAGAAAAUUCGAACCCAAAUAUAAUAUUGCGAAGUUUCCCACUAUAAAUAGAGGUAUCAAGAAUCCACAGAUGAACACAUUUGAUAACACAAAAGAAACCAAAAGCUCAAAAACAAAACAGCCUUUUUCUCUUUGCUUGUAAUUGACCACACAACCAAUAUCCCCAUAACCCCUCGCCCAACUUGCAAAAACCUUUCGUCCAUCCUCAAGAUAUGUCUCUUCCUGAAACUAAAUCUCAAACCCUUCUAGAUGCUUGGGACUUCCAAGGCCGCCCUGCCGAUCGCUCUAAAACCGGUGGAUGGGCCAGCGCCGCGAUGAUUCUCUGUAAGUAUAAUCACAUACAGUUGAAGUUCUAGAAAAAGACUACAACGGUGUAUAUAUAUAUACCAGUGAAAAAGAAUUUGAAUAUCUUGUGGCCGUUUGUUGUAGUUUUAUUCGAAAUGGGUUGGAGUUGUUUUCUUGUUUGUGUUUAUUUAUUUUCCAUUUUAUACUCGAAAUCUCUAACUUUUUUUCUUAAUUAUUUGAAGGUAUUGAGGCGGUGGAGAGGCUGACGACGUUAGGUAUCGGCGUUAAUCUGGUGACGUAUUUGACGGGGACUAUGCAUCUAGGCAAUGCAACGGCAGCUAACACCGUCACCAACUUCCUCGGAACUUCGUUCAUGCUCUGUCUCCUAGGUGGCUUCAUAGCUGACACCUUUCUCGGACGGUUUGUCUAUAGUUUAAAUGAGAUCAUUACCCUUUUUUGCUCAUGUUAAUUCUUCAAUAAUAAUUAUUAUUUUUGAUUCAUAUAGGUACCUAACGAUUGCCAUAUUCGCAGCAAUCCAAGCCACGGUAAGGACCUUAGACGUCCCUUUCGCCUUGCUCAAAACUAUAGCCAAGAUUAUGAAGAAUCAUAAAUAUUGACUAGUCUAAUACAAAGAUAAAUAUAGUAAACGACUAGCCUUUAUUUUUGUACAGUUUCCCAAAAGAUUAAUAUAUACGUUCAUUCAAAAAAAGAAAUUAAUAUAUAUGUUAUGAUUUUGACUAUUAGGGUGUUUCUAUCUUAACCCUCUCAACUAUCAUACCGGGACUUAGACCACCAAGAUGCAACCCGACAACGUCGUCUCAUUGCGUACAAGCGAGUGGAAUACAGCUGACGGUUCUAUACUUAGCGUUAUACCUCACGGCCCUAGGAACCGGAGGUGUGAAGGCAAGCGUAUCUGGUUUCGGUUCAGACCAAUUCGAUGAGACUGAACCAAAAGAACAGUCACAAAUGACAUAUUUCUUCAAUCGCUUCUUCUUUUGUAUCAACGUUGGCUCUCUUUGUGCCGUGACGGUCCUUGUCUACAUACAAGACGAUGUUGGACGCAAAUGGGGAUAUGGUAUUUGCGCGUUGUCUAUCGUGCUUGCACUAAGCGUGUUCUUGGCCGGUACAAACCGCUACCGUUUCAAGAAGUUGAUCGGUAGCCCCAUGACACAAGUUGCGACGGUUAUUGUGGCGGCGUGGAGGAAUAGAAGGCUAGAGUUGCCGUCGGAUCCGUCGUUUCUAUACGACUUGGACGAUGUUAUUGCGGGGGAAGGCGCGAUGAAGAGUAAACAAAAGCUGCCGCAUACCAAACAAUUCCGGUACGAUUUCUAUUAGCUUAUUUUUGUCAAUAAAAAUUUAACAGUUUACUAACAUAAAAAUCACACUGACGAUUCCCCCAAGGUUAUUUUUCAAAAAGAUUCGAUUCAAAUUUGACAAUUCUAUACUCCCUCCGGAUUUGAAUAUACUAUGUUUUAGUUUUUUUUUCUUGUAUACAAAUGUAUGAUGUUCUACUUUUCAUUAAUGCAUUUUGCUUUUAAAAUAAAAUGUAAAAAAUAUAAGUGGUUGAAUUUUAUUGGGAUUCAAAUAAAUGUUUAAACUAACUAAAAGUAAAACCAAAAAGUAUUUGAUAUAAGUAAGUAUUUAAUUUCUCUUAAUACGUGUGCACAACUUUAAACAUCAUAUAUUCAAAUCCGGAGGGAGUAUUUAACUACAAGGGUUUGUUUCAAAUAAUUGAGGUGUGGCCUAUGGGUUGGUUAAUUGAAUGUGAUGGAAUAGACUUGAGAAAUGUGAAAUUAAAAGUGGGGCUGUCUGGGUGAGAAAUAACUCAAAAAGCUCGUGUCCUUUUAUUAAAGGGGGACCACACAUUUUUUCAUUAUAUGCCUACUUGGCAUUAGAAUCCAAUUAAAAAGGCUUGAUUAUAUUCACUUGUCUCUUGUUAUGGGAAAAUAAAUUAUUAUCAUAAUAAUAAUAUUAUUACUCGACCAUACAACGAAUCUGGUCCAGGACGUGGAUUUUACAGCUAAUGACAAUAUUUAUUGGAUUUUUAUUUUCAUGUGUGUACUUACGUUAGAUAUAGCACGCCAAGUUCAACAUUUUCUCGUAAAGAUUUGCUCGUCUAGUUUUACCUAUAAAUGAUCUUAGCAACUUUUACACCCACUGUUAGAUUAUUUGGUCAUUACGAAAGAGAGUAGCUUUAGGCACAAGCUUUGGUAAAAAUCAAAUAACAUAUUUCAGUUUGUUUUAUUUUACUAAUAUAGUAUUAUUAUUAUCAACAGAUUCUCCUGCUACAAAACUAAAAAAUACGCACAUAGAUAUAUUCAUAUACCUGACUCGUGACGUCCCACUUAAGUACAGUAUCUUUUUAUGCAUCAAUCCCUAGAUAGACACAAGAAUCCAUAGGAAUCAAAUUACUUGUAGUUCCAGAUAAUUUGUAGAGAAUCUUUUUACCAUCUCUAGAUACUUGAAUUUCUCCUAAUAAUAAAACUAAAUAAAUGCUUUUUCAAAAAAAAAAAAAAACUAAAUAAAUAAGAAGAAAGAAACGACAAGUUAGGGAGACAGUUGUUUUGUCUUGUAUCCAGAACAAUCACGUUUCGUGUCGUAAGACCUCCACUACUUUACACCUCCACCGGGACAGACCCAAAUUUAGACUUUAGACGUUUAGAACCCCUGGUCACGUGAUUUGCGUGCUAAUUGCUUCAUUCAAUUUGUCUAUUUUGGGUAUUUCUUAGUGUACUCAAAACUUUUGAAAACUUCCUUACCUUUUACACCUUUUUCCUUAUUUAAUUUAUUUGUUUACUUUCCUUCAAAAACAAUUUUUAUGUGCAUGUUUUUUGCCAUUUGUGAAGGGCAUAUCAUCUUGAAAAGAUUUCACGUAAAUUUCUCCAUAUCAUGUUGAUUCGAUGCUUAGGGAGGAUGUGUCAACAAGAACAUACAAAAUAAAUAAAAUAUCUAUAAUCGUCAACGCAAUUUCCAUAAAUUAUUUUUAACCACAUUUAUCCUUUAUCCAGCAAUGCAUUUUUCUCUAUUAAAAAUAAUAAUAUAUAUAUUCUAACCAUUCUUUAUAUAAUUUUUGAUGCUACAGUUCGUUAGACAAGGCAGCAAUAAAGAACCAAGAAACGGCAAUGACCCAAAACGUAUUCAACAAAUGGACACUUUCAACACUAACCGAUGUUGAGGAAGUAAAACAAAUCGUACGGAUGUUACCAAUUUGGGCAACAUGCAUCCUCUUUUGGACCGUACAUGCUCAAUUAACGACAUUAUCAGUCGCACAAUCCGAGACGAUGGACCGUCACAUUGGGAGCUUUGAGAUCCCUCCAGCUUCGAUGGCCGUAUUCUAUGUCGGUGGCCUCCUCUUAACCACCGCACUCUACGACCGUGUCGCCAUUCCCCUAUGCAAAAAGCUAUUCAACUACCCACAAGGUCUAAGAUCACUUCAACGCAUUGGUCUAGGUCUCAUACUCGCAGCCAUGGGUAUGGCCGUAGCUGCUUUGGUAGAGAUCAAACGUCUUAGAACCGCACAUUCCCAUGGUCCAACAGUCAAAACGCUUCCUCUAGGGUUUUAUCUACUCAUCCCACAAUACCUUAUCGUUGGUAUUGGAGAGGCGUUGAUCUACACGGGACAAUUAGAUUUCUUCUUGAGAGAGUGUCCUAAAGGUAUGAAAACGAUGAGCACGGGUCUAUUACUGAGCACAUUAGCGUUAGGGUUCUUCUUCAGCUCGGUUCUCGUGACUAUCGUUGAGAAAUUCACCGAUAAAGCUCAUCCAUGGAUCGCUGAUGAUCUCAACAAGGGUCGUCUAUACAAUUUCUACUGGCUUGUGGCCGUAGUUGUUUUCUUGAACUUCCUUAUUUUCCUCGUUUUCUCGAAGUGGUACGUUUACAAGGACAAGAGACUAGCAGAGCUCGGGAUUGAGUUGGAAGAUGAGAGGGAUAUUCCCAUGGGUCAUGCAUGAUCAUGAUCCGACGAUGAUGAAUAUUGUGAACAUAUGUACGCAUUUGGUUUUGAUUUAUUAAAUUUAUAAUAUAUAUUAUAAUGAUUUUCGCAGUUACCUCUUGUUUCCGAGUCGACAAAUAUGAGCAUCAUUAACCCUUAAAACCCCAUUUGAGUUCUUAUUUUUUUUUUUUUUUUUUUUAAAAAUUAAAAACGAACCAAUCGCGGGAUGCCAUGUGUCAGUGGGGCCCGCGAACAGUACAAGAACCCACCAAACUUGCCUCUUGGAAAAGGAAGAGGAGGUUGUAGAAAAAAUUGUGGGACCCACCUCUUAAGAACCCACUUAAGAGGUGGGGUUAAUCAUGCUCUAAGGGACCUACCGAUAAGGGAUAAAGGUUAAAGUUCUACACUGUAAAAUUUCUAGAUUUAACGCAAUUAACAUCUUUUGUUUAAAUUUCAAGUUGUCUGUUUCUUCCAAAAAAAGAAGCUAUUCUUUUGCAAUGGAGUAAGGGAUAAAAGUAAAAGUUUUCCAAUUUGAGCGUAUAUUUUUUUGCAAUAUAUCUAUAUGCUUACGAUAUAAAAUAGUAAGGAAUGUUCUGCGCACGUUUGUCUGUCUAACAGCUGUCUCCCCACUUUUAUCUAGUUUUAGGAUGCAAAAUGAUAAUUUAAUAUUAUGAUUUCUCAAAUAUCCCCACCCCACCCCCCCCCCACACCCAAAUCAUGUAGCUUUAAAGUCUUAAUAUUAUGAUUUCUCAAAUAGCCCCCCCCCCCCCCCCCCCCACACCCAAAUCAUGUAGCUUUAAAGUCUGAGAUUGGACAUAUGUAUAUAGAUCACUUCAGGCGUGGACAUCAAUUAUAUCAACUCCAUACUUGUCUAUAUAAUCAAAUCUAUCGAUUGAUAAACUAAACUCCAUUUCUUCCAACCAUCAGCUAUUUUGGAUUGAGCUGGAAGUGUAUAUCCUGAGAGGUAUCAAAUCCAUCGAUUGAUAAACUAAACUCCAUUUCUUCCAACAAUGAAUUCAACUAGUUUUCAUUUUCUUACUUUUACUUGCAUAAAAUAUUUGUUUUCUCAAAAUAUAAUGAAUCACGUAUUUUGUUUGUUCUGAAUAUCAGUAUAUCUAGUUUAGAAUUGGAGAUUUCUAAUUUUUUUUGGGAUAAAUUUUCUUGAUGAUCUCUCUUCACAAUAGAUUUUCUCUUUUUCCCAUGCGUCAUAUAUUUCAAUAAUAUUGGUUCACUCUUCCCAGUAGAUAUGUUCCGUUAUAUUGACAAGAUCUCUAUUGACAACCAUCUUAAAGAACAAAAUAGAAAAUAUCUUAGGGGUAUCCAAAAAAAGAAAAAGAAAAUAUCUUAGGAAGAGAUAUUAUUAUUAUAACUUAGUAGUCUGAUUUACUGUAAUGAUUGUCGAGGAGCAAUAAUGUUGAAAUGAGACUUUUUGAAUCUAGGAACUAUAUGAACCAAUUACAGAGAAGUAAUCAUGAACUUUUGGUCUAAGAACACUAGUACUACUAUUUAAUGUGUCUUUCUUUGACUUAUAAACGACAUGAGAGGGUGGGGGAAGAAAUAACUUUUUGCUUUUAUCUUUUCAUUGGUUUUGGCAUGAACUAACUCAAUUAUUGUAGCGUAGAUUCUCCAGAUUCCUCUUUGGCAUCUACUAUUUUCUUGUUCGUUAAAUUAAAAUAUUAUCAGGUGUCAGUGUCACAAACAGAGCUGAAUUUUUACAUGAAUACAAAUAUAUCUCUUGAUAAAAUAAAAAUUCAUGUAAAAAUAUUGCAUCAAACUAGACAUCAGUAUAAAUCCUUUAUAGUAGUAAAAUAAAUCAGAAUUAGGGAAAAACUCAAAAAAAUUAGCAUGAACAAAGAUGAAUUAGUGAAUAAGAAAUAAAGUUCCCAAUUUUCAUAGGAAUUAAUGAAAUAAUACCAUAGUAUUAGUUUAUGGGCAAAUCUCCAAAAUAACAUCUUUCUAAGUUUAUAUCACAAAAAUAGCACUCAAAAACUAAAAUGACCAAAAUAACACCUUUCUAAGUUUAUCCUUUGAAAAUUUUAAUUUUUUUAUUUUUCAAAAUUUGAAAUCUUAUCCCCAAAACCUCAUUUCUCAACUCUAAACCCUAAACCCUAAACCCUAAACCCUAAACCCUAAACUCUAAACCCUAAACCCUAAACCAUAAACCCUAAACCCUAAACUCUAAACCCUAAACUAUAAACUCUAAACCCUAAACCCUAAACCCUAAACCCUAAACCCUAAACCCUAAAAUCUAAACCCUAAACUCUAAACUCUAAACCCUAAACCCUAAACCCUAAACCCUAAAUCCUAAACCCCACCCUUUAACUAUAAACCCUAAGUUUGUGACUUUUGAUAAAACAUUAAGUGCUAUUUUUGUGACUUUUGACCUUGAGUGCUAGUUUGAGAACAUAAACUUGAUUUAGUGCUAUUUUUGUCUUUUUCUCUUAGUUUAUUGAGUCAAAUACUAUAUUUUCUUGACACUUACAAUAAACGAAAGAAAUAUUAAACUUGAUCACUAACUAAUUAGUGUUUAGUCUAUUUCAAAAAAAAAAAGAUCACUAACUAAUUAGUGUUUAGUCCAUUUUAGUCCCCAAGAUAUAUGAUUAACAUAAUACUUUUAACUUAUCAGGAAACACAAAAAUAUGUGAAAUGAAGUACACAUACAAAAGAUAAACCACUCAUUAUUAAAACAUGCAUGAAGACAACAAACCCGAAGUGGCAGAAUCAACACGGUCGGCCAGAACACUUCACUAACUUGAAAGUCAAAUAGAGACUAACUUGACGUGAAGACGGCAACAAGUCUAUUCCUAAUAACUACAACCACAACUUGAAAAAGUAAUGAUUAAUAUAUUUGAGGCCUUUAAUCUAAAUGGGCUACGGCCCUAAAAGUCAGUUAAAGUUGUUGAAUACAAACUGUGUUCCAAGAUUCCAACAAGAACAUUUCAGUUGACCCCUAACAAAUCGUUAAUGCACAACAGCAGUCAGGUCUGACACCAGUAGACCCUUUAAGUAACAUUUUGAGAGAGAAUGAGAAUGUCAUCAGCUUACUAUCUAUAACUUCUUAUCCAUAAUCAAUGCCAUAAUCUAAAUAAAAAUACUUGAACAACAUAGACUUUUAAAACAUUACACAAUGGAGCAAUCAUUCAUGUUUUCGCCUUCUUUUACCAACGUACCUCUGUGAAACUGGACGUUUGUUUCUCUGGUUUGCUCCUAAUUUGACAUCUUUAGCUUUCCCCUGCAUCUUCUUGUACUCUCUUGAUCUCAAAACUGCUUCCAAGAUGUUAAUGUCUUCGCGUAUCUCGUGCCUAGAGAGAGAAGUUAAGCUCGGGAGUAUCUCCUUCUGGAAGUUCUUCAUUCUCCUCCCUCUUCUCAGCUUGAGUCCAAUCUCUUUGUUGUUAUCUCUUUUCAUGUUAUUGAUCUCAUCUAGAGCCAUUGAUGACACACAUAAGUCUUCUUCCAUGUUGGUUUCACUUAGACCUAAUGUGUGUAGCUCAUAUGAAUCGCAUGAACAACAUUCCAAAUCUUGAUCUUGAGAUGAGCUAUUGGUUCUCACUUGACAUGAAACUGCUGAUAUGUGGACUAAUGAUUCAGCUGCCGUUUGAAUAGCUUCAGAGAACUCUUCCUCCUCGUUACAACGUUCGUUCUCCGGUAAGACUUCCGUAGCAGGAAACUCAAGCCGUGUACAGCAAGAAGGAUCCAGUGUUUGAGUUCUUAAGUUGUUUUCAGUGGUGCAGCAAGAAGUAUAUGAAGCUGGAGAUGCUGUACCCUCUUUUUCAUGGACGUUUUGGCAUUUAGAAGAGCAAAGAGGCGUAGUAGGAUCAUCAUCUACUCCGCUCUUCUCGCAGCUAGUUUCUUUCUCUUCAAUGUACGGACAGUUCAGGUCUUGUAAGAAAGAGUAAUGAGGCUCGGAGACUAACUCAUCAUCCGGUGGGGUUCUGUUAAGGUCCAGUAAACCUGACUCCAUAUCCACUAUGUUUGAGCUGAUCCCAUCAGCCAAGAAUGACGGUUCAUAGCUAACAGAAUCUGCCUGCUCUGUUGUGGGAGGCUCCUCAAGGUCAAUAAUAAUUUUUGGGUCUCUCUUGCCACUCCAAGUUGUGGCUAGUGCUGCAUCUUUCUCCUUGUUAGCUUCAAACUCUGAAUGAAAUCCCAUAUCUACAGUGGUAUUAUAAGCGUAGUGAUCUGCAGGAAGACGAAGAUCGAUAUCUCUCAUCAGCAGCUUAGGUGAGCUUUUAACCGGAAACACCUGAAAAGAAAACUUUAUCAACUAACUGUUUGAUAAUUAAAGCUCCAAAUGGUGACCGCACCUCAUUGAACAUUAACAAAAUUUAUACAUAUGUAUAUUUAUACUUUUUGUAACUAUUAAAACCGCGGCAUGUUACCAUUUGGACCCUAAGAAACAUCUAAAAAGUCAAGACUUAGACAAAACUAGAAUCUGAAUAAGCCACACAAUCUUUACCUGUCUCCCAAACAGAGUGACUGUACUCAUUGGAUUCUGCUUUAAAGUCUCUUUAUGUGAUGCAACAUGUUGUUUCUGUGACAACACUUCCUCUUUGGACAAACCAAAGAAGUACAUGGCACCUUGGUCGAUGAUCUAACUCUUUUAUUCUGUGGUUCGUUCGUCCCUAUCAAAAAUGCGAACACACGGCAUACACAGAAACGGUAAAACUGAGAUGAAUACGUCAAAAUCAAACAGGAUCAACACUGACCUUCCAACAAGAAAUUAGCUACAUGAGCAUCUGCUAAUUAGUCCUAUUAUACUGGUUAUCCACAGUCCACACACACACACACGAAAAAACCUCCAUAGACAUGCAAAUAAGUAACGCUUUCCAUUACAAGAUUUCCAAAAAAAGAACACCAUAUAUAGCAAAGGAUUCGUUAUUCACAUUAAUAGAGAUAUACAAAGUAGGUAUAUAAUUUUUUCCUAAAUCCGAAUUCAACCAUUAGAGAGAACUAUAAAGGGGAAAAAGGUAAAAGCAUCAACUUCAUGACGAACAAAAACAUAGUACUACUACAACUUCGACUUUUGAUAAUAAAAACUAAAUAUAUAUAUAUAUAAUUAUAUAUAUAUAAAUCUAAUAAUUCAAUGAAUGAAUAAAAUUGUUUUUAUUAAAUAACGAAAUUACCUGUAACAAAUAGCUUGAAGCUUUCCAAUGGUAAGCAGAUCUGGGAGACGGAAAAAACUGAGAGAGAGAGAAAAGUAUCUCAAGAGGAAAUGAGAUCCAUAGGUCAGAUUCUAAUGGUUAUUGUCUCCAUCAAUAUAGAUAGAUUAUACUACACACGUUUAACGUGUAUCUGUAACUAUCACAUACCAUUUCUAAAUAUAAAAAAUUUCGAUCAUGAGGAGCGAGAGAGACAGAGAGAGAAGAGGAGAGACUCUUUUAAUAGAGAGAGAGAGAGAGAGAGGGAGUUUCAGAAUAUUUCCAUUCCAUAUAUUCUUUUUUUUUCAACUGGUAUAUAUUUAUAAAACAAGGCCAUAGUAUACAAUAUAUUCAUUCCAUAUUUCUAACAAAUAUCCAACUGGUAUAAAAUAGUAAAAAAUUAAUAUAAAUUUAUGAGGUCUAUGUUAUUUUAUGAGUUAUUCAAAUCUUUUAAAAUUGAUUAUAUUGUUAAUUAAUGAUAUUAGCGUAUAUAUGGAGAAAAAUAAAAUGAAUAUUUUAUGGAUGAGAUGCUUUUAGUUAGUGUGCAACGUCAGAGAGAUAUCUUUUUCUGAGAUUAAUAUGAACUUUUAUGUUUUGGUUAUUAUUAUUGACAAAGAUUUUUGGGUGUGUUUAGGAUUCCUCGCUUUUUUCCAUAAUUAUUAUCCAAUGGGUUUUGUUCCCUGUUCUAAGACGCGCCCGCGACGACCGCUUAAUCGGCGAUUAAACGUGAAUCGGUAAACUACCGUAGCGUUUUGCCCCAAUUCGUCCAAAAAAUCGGAUUCUUUACAAAAAGUUUGAUUUUUCUAAAUUGUAAGCACAAAAUCAUAAGUUUCGCUGUGAAUCUAUCAUAACUAGGCAUAAAUAUCAUAAAAAUCAGUGAAAACGUAGAGGAAUCGUGAAAAAAAAGGUUGAAAAACGCAGAACUAGGGUUCUUGAGCGACUGAUAAAAGAAAGAACACGAGGGUAGUAUAGUAAAUGUGCAUUCAUUAAAGAAAAAAAUGAAAAAAUAAUAAAAUAUAUAAGACCUCGCCUCGAACCCGGGUCUCCUGCUUAUAUAUAAGACUCCCGACCAAUAGACUACGGUGAAAUCUUGUAAUGUUUGGACAAAUAAUAAUAUAUAUACCAAACAUACAUAAAAUUAAUUCCCGAUUAAUCCCGCCUUAAUCACCGAUUUUCCGUUAGGUUCAGGAUUGCGGCAUGGAUAGCGCGUAGCAAAUUUUUGAACAGGGGUUUUGUUUAGUCAUUUAAUGACAACUGACCGUCCGUAAUAGUAGUCAUUUUAGCCGUAGAGGGAGAGAUAUAAUUAAAAUUAUAUUUAAAUUAAACUGAAAUGAGAAAAGAAUUAAAAAUAGAGUUUUUGUUGCAGUUGUCGUGUAGUGGUCAGAUCUGUGUGGGUUGAGGAAAGAGGACCAAACAUAGUUCUGAGACAGUAGAUGAUUUGUGGCCCAGCUUCCAGCUUUUGCCUUUUGCCAUCUAUAGAAUCUUUACUGCAAAUCCCCCACAAUGUAUUGAUGUCUUACCUAACCUAUAAUAUAUGUCGUACGAUCUUUAUAGGAAAUCAAGCUGGUGGAAGAGACAUUAGCAAGGACAUAGCAGCCAUGGCAAAAGAAGUCCGUGUUGCAUCUAUUUCUCGUUAUGGCAAAUCUACAGAUUCAUCCCACUGUAACAAAGCUGAGAAAAUCACCAGAACUACAUUUACUCGUUUAGUUUUUUUUUGUUUUUGUCAAAAGUAUAUGAUCCUUUCAAAUGAUUCUUUUUUACCCUUGAUAUGUGGUUUAUAUAGACCGCCUCUACGUAUACGCCGAGGCCGUAGUGCAUUGCAUAGGUCAUGUGACCGUCGAGGAUAACCAGUGUGUUAGACCACUCUACGAGCAGGUCUUCCCGCCCAACAUAGCCCCAUGGCUCUCCUUUAUCUGGCUACCUGUAUUAAAUUUUAGAAGGAUAUAUGGAAGUUUCAAGAAACGUUAGGAAGCUAUCAAAUUUCAUAUCCGCGAAAAAUGUUGAAUCUAUGCUAAAUUUUUUGCCAUGCUACAGCUACAUUACACUUUAAACAAACGGAGAAUGCAAAACUACUAACCGUUAUGUCAAGUUUGGAGGAAACCUAAGUAGUAUAAUAGUUUCUCUCGUCUUAUUAACUUAGCCAAUAGACUUAUUUAUACAAAUACUUAAUUUGUCUAGCAAGUUCUUUACAUAAUAGAAUAGGAAGCCUAACUUAUACAUUAAUGCUAACUUUUCUAAUAGUUACAUGAAAGUAUAUUUUAAGUGAUCUCGUAAUCACUAAGAUUUCCUAAUACGUUAGCAUUACAAAUGAAACAUAGAAUGCAAACACUGAGUUCAGAGUUGCAUGGAGAAUAGUAACGGGAUUGAAUUUGAAAAGAUUCAAUGAUACUUCAAUUGAUAUAUAGUCCAUCCGGCUGAGCAACUCCAAUGGUAGAAGACUCUAAAAUUAUUUAUAUUAAUACUACAAUGUAUUUUUUUUUUAAUAAUUAAAUUUUGUUUUGUUUGUAAAAAAACAAGAGUUAUUUUUAUAUAUAGACACAUUAUGACUUUUUAUUUCACUAUAAGUCAGAAACGAAAAUAUAUAAAAAGUAAAGGAGUGAACGUGCAAAAAAAACAAAAUUUGGCCAUUGAUGCUCUUAAGCCGCUCGUGACGGCGAGAGGCAAGGUCACAACGCCGGAAAGCAGAGUCGGAGUCUGACGAUGUUCCCCAUGACGUCGAUGGCUUACUCUUCGGCCAAAUCUGCCACUACUUUAUCGGACGACUUUCCGGCCAAAUCGUUUGCCUCAAGCUCCUCGUCUGAUUAAAUUAUAGCCAUUGUGACGAGUGUCACCUGUCCUGGUAAGACUCUCUCCAUCGUGGCGAGCUUCACCUAACUCGUGUCGGAUCGACUCUCUCCAACUCGACUCGCUGAACCACCUCUAUGCUCCUUUCUCCUUCUUUUUCUCCUUAACACAUGUAUUCAAUUAAACUAAUAUUUAAUCUUGGAAACAAUUAUUUUUGAAAAGUUAAAUUCUUGAAAAAAACGAGAUUGCAGUAGACCUAGAUUGCAGGAAGAAGAAAAUAAGAGAGAGAAGACAAUGGGUCCCAUUAGUCGGCAAAAAGUUAACCGAAUAUACACGAUAGUUUUGGUUUUAGUUAGCAGAAACUACCUAAUUGAAAGUGUUCAAGAGUGAAAUAUAAAAGAGUAAAAAUGACCCAAAGUGUAAAUCUUUCAAAAAACAAUCCAUUUGUAAAUUGGCACUUGACAACAAAGAAUAAAAAGGUAUUUCAAAAGUUUUAAUAUUAUAUACUUUCCUCAUGUUUUUCUUCUAAUGUAACUAUAAUACGACUGUUUUAUUAAUAGUUUUGAAAUUUAUAACUUACAAAAUCCUAUUAGAACCUAACAAAAUUUUGAACAAUUGUAGUUUACUUUUUCUCUGUUGGAUUUUAAUUCAUAUUGUAUGGGCAUGUUUAUUGGGGAUUCGUAAAGGUGAAGUUUUAGCGUAAUAUAAGAACUGUUUUUUAACUUUUAUUUAAGAGUCGGUUUUUAAUUUUUUUUAGUUAAAGUUAAGAGGCGGUUUUUAUACUUAGACCCUGAGAACCCAAGUAAACAUCCCCUGAGCGUUUAGUUUAGAUUUAGACCAAUCGGUUUAAUCCAAAUUGAAGACGGUCCUAUAUAAACCCAACUCGAGCACAGAGAGUCAUCAUUACUCCACAAACUUCUUCAACAACAAAAAAAUGGCACCCGCAUGCACCAGAAUCAACUCACUCCACGUGGCAGUGAUCGGAGCCGGAGCAGCCGGACUCGCAGCCGCACGCGAGCUACGCCGCGAAUCACACUCCGUCGUGGUCUUCGAGCGCGGCACACAAAUCGGAGGUCUCUGGGUGUACACACCUCAAACCGAACCCGACCCGCUCAGCCUCGACCCGAACCGAACCAUAGUCCACUCCAGCGUCUACGACUCGCUCCGCACCAACCUCCCAAGAGAGUGCAUGGGUUACAGAGACUUCCCUUUCGUGCCCCGAGACGACGACGGAUCCAGGGACCCGAGAAGGUAUCCUAGUCACAGCGAAGUCCUCGCUUACCUUCAAGACUUCGCGAGAGAGUUCAAGCUCGAGGAGAUGGUUCGGUUCGAGACUGAAGUGGUUUGUGUUGAGCCUGAAGGGCAAAAAUGGGAGAUCCGGUCAAAAAGUUCCGAUGGGAUCUUCAAAGAUGAGAUCUUUGAUUCUGUCGUCGUGUGUAAUGGACACUAUACAGAGCCUCGAGUUGCUCAUGUUCCUGGUAAUAAUUAAUUGAUUAAAAGUCUUAAUCUUUCUUUGUCUUUUGAUGAUUUUGAAGUAGUUCAUGUUUGAUCCAUGUGAAAUCUUUAGGCAUAGAUUCAUGGCCAGGCAAGCAGAUCCAUAGUCAUAACUAUAGAGUUCCUGAUCCAUUCAAAGACCAGGUAGGUUCUUACAGAAUCUAUUAACCCUUUACGCUUUAUUUAUUUGUCCUUUUCAACAAUUGUUUAUUAGAUUCUCUACUUCUUAUAUUAUAUUUCAUACAAAAACGUAGUUAGUAAUGUAUCUUUAUAUUAAUGUUCUAAAAAUCGGUUUAAACUAUGCCUGCGGCAAAUCGGUCCAGAGGUUCAAAAAAUUGGUCUAGGCUUAAGCCUAAUCAAUAAUCAUCUAUAAAAUGCUUAAUUACCGUCUAACAUUUCUUGAGAUUUGCUAAAUACAUUGUGUGGAUUCAUUAAUCUUGCAUUCUUGGUCUGAAAUCUUUGAAAGGUGGUGGUAGUGAUUGGAAACUUUGCGAGUGGAUCAGAUAUAAGCAGGGACAUAACAGGAGUGGCCAAAGAAGUCCAUAUCGCAUCUAGAUCAAAUCCAUCUGAGACAUACGAAAAGCUUCCCGGGUCCAACAACCUAUGGCUUCACUCUAUGGUAUUACAACAAAAGAACCAAAAUGAAAGAUAAUAAAGAUCAGAGAGUGAUGUGAUUCUUAUGUUUUUAUGCAGAUAGAAAGCGCACGCAAAGAUGGGUCGAUUAUUUUCAAGAAUGGUAAGGUUGUACAAGCUGAUACUAUUGUGCAUUGCACCGGUUACAAAUAUCACUUCCCGUUUCUCAAUACCAAUAGCUAUAUAACCGUUGAGGAUAACUGUGUUGGACCGCUUUACAAACAUGUCUUUCCUCCUGCUCUUGCUCCAACGCUUUCCUUCAUCGGUUUACCAUGGAUGGUGAAGUCUCUCAUUCAUUCUACGGUUCUUUCGUGGCUUCUUUGAUCAUCGUUUCCUAAUCAGAUUCUUUGUUAUGAAUCACAGACAUUGCAGUUCUUUAUGUUUGAGUUACAAAGCAAAUGGGUGGCUGCUGUUUUAUCUGGCCGUGUCACGCUUCCUUCAGAAGACAAAAUGAUGGAAGAUGUCACCGCCUUCUAUGCAAACCGUGAUGCUAACAAGCUUCCCAAGAGAUACACGCAUAAGCUCGGUGAGUGUCAGGUUGAUUACCUCAACUGGAUAGCCGAGCAAGUCGGUGCACCACCUGUUGAACACUGGAGAGCUGAGGAAGUACACGGCGGGUAUCGAAGACUCGCCACGCAAUCAGACACUUUCCGUGAUAAGUGGGACGAUGAUCAUCUCAUUCUUGAGGCUUAUGAAGAUUUCUUGAGACAGAAGCUGAUUUAGUGUUGGAAUAGUUUAUUGUCUUUAAUACUUUUAAUUUGGAACAAAAUAAUAUUUCUAUAACAGAUUGAAUCUAAGAAGUAAGACCUAAGCAUGUUGUACAUUUUCUUGUUGACGCCAUCUGUUUAGUUCACUUUCCACCAUGCUCUUUGCCGCUUCUGCUGACUCUGCUGACUUCUGAGCCAACUCCGUUGCGUGGUUCAUCUCCUCUAUAGCUUUCAGGCUCGCUCCUAGUUUAGUAUCCGCUUCUGUUUUUCUUGCGUUGAUCUCUUCAAGCUCAGCUGCUAUAUCUGCUAGCUUCUUUUCGGUUUCAGUCUCUGUCUCCCCUGCUCCUCGUUUCAAAGUUUCAUACUCUAGUACUGUGAUCUUUAUCUUUGAAGAAGAUGAUUCGUCCUGUUUCUUGCUCUCUUGCUUCUGAGAUAUCAUCUUCAUCUCCUCGCGCACUUUCUCAUCAGCCGCUUUGGCCUGUUCCACUUCUCUUAUCACAAUCUCUAGUCUCUUUUCAGCUUCCUCCGCAGCUCUCAUAGCGGAAUCGGUUUCUUUCUUCAAACUCUCUAUCUUUCUAUUCAUCUCUUCAGCUUCGUUUCUUGCUCCCAAAGCUUCUAACUUCAUCCCCUCAAGCUUCAAGCUCUCUUCCUUGAGAGCUUCCACCUUCUUCCUCUCCUCAACCUCUAACCUCUCUGCUUCUUUCUUCUCCAUCUCUUCGCUUUCUCUUCUCAUCUCUUCAAGCUCCAUCCUUAUAGAAUUCACCAAGCUCCGGAGAGAGCAUUCUUCAUCAGAGGCCUCUUGCAGCCUCGUAGUAGCCUCAUUCAGCUCGUUUGUAAUAACUUUAACCGUGUUCAUUUCAGACUCAUGAGCUUUCUUCAUCUCUUCCCUUAAACUCUCAAUCUCCGAGGUCGUCUCAAUAAGCUUGCCUUCAAGAGUUCUUGCUAGCUCAGGCUCAUACUCUUUCCUCAAGACUAGUAGCUUCUUCUCCGCCUCCUCAACCGCCGUCUUGUAACACUCUCUCAAAUCAUCUUUCUCCUUCACAAUAUCGCCGUACUCUUGCUGGUUCUGAGUGGCCGCCACCUUGAGCUGAUGAAUCGCGUCUUUCAUAUCCGUGAUCUCUUUGGAAAGCUCGUUGACCUUAGCGGAGUUUACUUGUAUCGCACGUUUAGCCUCAGCGGCUUGGUUUAGGGCCGUGGCUUUGAAGUCCAUAGCGGAAUCAAAGCUUUGUUUGAUUUUGUUUAGCUUUUGCUUUGCGGCAUCGAGUUCAACGGUGGUGGAGAGAUACUGCUCUCUAGCAACAUCGAGCUCGUGGUGGUGAGGAGGGGAGGAGCCUUGGGACUUGUCAUGCUCAAGCUGUUCUUCUCGCUGUUGGACGGUUUCUUUGGCGUCGAUAGCGGAUUGUUUAGACUUGUUAACGGUCUCGAGCUUGUUGCUAAGCUCCUCCAUUGUCUUCUUUGCUUUUGAGAGAUCGGAGAGAGCGCGAGAUCUUGUGAUCUCGGCGUUGUCUAGCUUUUGUUUGAUCUUGAUGAAUUGCUUGUGGGCUAGCAUUAGCUGUGUUUCUUUGUCGGUAACGCUCUGAAACAUUUAAAAAGGGUUUCUUGCUAAACAAGGCAUCUAGAAAGAUUAUACUACAUGUUCUUGAUUCGGCUAUAAUGAUUGUUGUUGGAUUAGUUUACCUCAGAGGAAAGGCGAGACCUUCUUGGAGUGCUUCUUUGCCUUGAGACUACUUCACCAAACAAGCUCACGGCAGCUUUCACAGACUGGAACGGUGCUCUGGUGUCUAUCUCUCCGACCUCCGACGUCCUCGGAGAUUCAGGGCCUUGUUGUUGUACUCUAACGUUCACCAUUCUCUACACCUACCUGCAUGCAAAACAUUGUCAAUCAAUAAAAGAAACUAAAACAAAAGGACAUAACAAUCCUAACAUGAUCAGCAUAUUCUUACAUAAACGAUGCAAAAUCCAUGCAGGUUGCAUAUAAUGAAAUGGAGAAAAUUAGAUAGAAAGGAAAGGAGACAUGUACGUACCUUGAUUAGUUUCUCUUUCUUCGUGUUCCUCGUUGUUGUUUUUUCCUAUUGACCUCUUCUUAUAUAACCCAUUGUUCUCUAUAAUUACGGGACUUUUGGUUGGUUAUUAUCCUUCUUGUCUCUCUGAUCUAUAUUUAGAAGCUUAGUUACUGGCACGACACCUUUCUUUCUUCUGUCUGCAUUCACGUCGCUGCCUGUCUCAAUGCCAUUUACUUAUUUGCUUCUGACUAUUAUGAGCCAAAGGUUAACCUUUUAUAAAAAAAACAAACUACAUGCUCCUCAUGUUGAAGUUAAUUUUUAAGUUGAAUUUUGAGUGACUUGUUCCUGGUGGACACAUUUAGAGAAUAACGUUUGUAACAUAUAUUUAUAUAUGUCAACAUUAAUCUCGCAUCAUCUCUCUCUCUACUAUCCCUAUAUCUUUCUUGUUAAACGACCUCUUCUCAUAUGGAGAAUGCAUCUAAUUAUUAUGUCUUAGUCAAGUACAGUUGGCUAGCCACUAGCCAGAGUCAAUAAUUUUUGUCUUUUUAAGAAUAGUCAAAUCUCUAAUGGUUUCCAAUAGAGGAAAAGUGCAACUCCAGACUCUCUUCUAAUGCGAAAUUAUUAGUUCCACAUAUGGUCACACGGAUAUAGACUGAUUAUUUAUGGUUCAUUUGAAUAUCCGAGAGCUGGUCCAUCCGUAGACUGCAUAUCCCAUCCCAAUGUUAGGUCUAAUUUUUUAAUAUACCCGAUUUUAACCUUUAAAAAGAAAAGUCAAAUAUACAGUUGACCUCUUUGGAUACUACUAGACAAGUCUUUUUAGAUAUUUUCUAUUGUGCACAGUAGCAUUGACUUGUUCUUUCUUGACGCUAAAAAAUCUUAUCUCUCUCUCUCUCUCUACCUCAAUUGUGCAGAGAUGGGCGGUUGUUUCUCUGUCUCGUUGCCAUGUGAUCAAGUGGUGAAUCAAUUUUCUCAGUGGUUAUGCCUCAGGGGGUGUUAUAUCCACAACCUUCCUGAGAAUAUCGUUGCUCUUCAGCAUGCCAUGGCAAUGCUCACGGCAAAGCUAGACGAUGUGCUGAGAACAGUGGGCAGAGAGGAGUUUACAGGGCGUCAACAAAGGAUUUCCCAAGUUCAGGUAUGGCAUGCUAAUGUCCUAACCACCAAAAAAAAAGUCGACGAUCUGCUUAGUACUUAUGAGGCUGAGCUUCAAAGGUUGUGCCUAUGUGGUUUUUGCUCCAAAGAUUUAAAACUGAGCUAUCUUUAUGGGAGAAGUGUUCGCCUGAUGUUGAGAAACUGAGUUCUCAAGGAGGAUUUGAUGUGGUGGUCGAGGCAUCUACGUUUGGUGAGGUGGAUGAGAUCCCUAUUCAACCCACCAUUUUUGGUCAGGAAAGAAUGCUUGAAAAGGCAUGGACGCUUCUCAUGGAAGAUGGAUCAGGGAUGUUGGGUCUGUACGGUAUGGGAGGAGUGGGGAAAACCACACUACUCACACAGAUCAACAAUAAGUUUUCUGAAAUAAGUGACAGGUUUGAAGUUGUGAUAUGGGUUGUUGUGUUUAAAAGUGCAACAGUCCGUAAGAUUCAAAGAGACAUAGCUCAAAAGGUUGGCCUUGUGGAGAUGGGUUCGGGAGAGAAAGACGAGAACCAGAGAGCCCUUGACAUCUACAAUGUUCUUAGAAGAAGAAAGUUUGCGUUAUUGUUGGAUGACAUAUGGGAGAAAGUGGAUUUAAAAGCGGUAGGAGUCCCGUACCCAACUAGAGAUAAUGGAUGCAAGGUAGCGUUCACAACUCGCUCUCGAGAUGUGUGUGGCCGCAUGGGGGUUGAUGAUCCAGUGGAAGUUAGCUGUUUGCAACCAGACGAGUCAUGGGAUCUGUUCCAAAGGACAGUUGGGGAAAACACACUGGGAAGUCAUCCAGACAUUCCAGAACUUGCGAGAAAAGUCGCUAGGAAAUGCCGUGGCCUACCGUUAGCACUCAAUGUUAUCGGUGAAACCAUGGCAUGCAAAAGGACAGUACAUGAAUGGUGUCAUGCGGUUGACGUUUUGACAUCAUCUGCCACAGAAUUUUCAGGUAUGGAAGAUGAGAUCCUUCCUGUUUUGAAGUAUAGCUAUGAUAAUUUAAGUGGGGAGAUGGUGAGAUCAUGCUUCCUCUAUUGCUCUUUGUUUCCUGAAGAUUAUCAUAUUGAUAAAGAGAGGCUGGUAGAGUACUGGAUAUGUGAGGGGUUCGUAAGUGAAAAGGAAAGUAGAGAGAGGACAUUAAACCAAGGUUAUGAGAUCGUUGGUACACUUGUCCGUGCAUGUUUGUUGAUGGAGGAAAGAAAGGAUAAAUCAUACGUGAAAAUGCAUGAUGUGGUUCGUGAGAUGGCGUUGUGGAUAUCAUCUGAUUUUGGUAAUCAAAAGGAGAGAUGUGUUGUGCGAGCUGGUGUUGGGUUACGUGAAGUACCAAAACUCAAGGAGUGGGCUACUGUGAGAAAGAUGUCUUUGAUGAAUAACGGGAUUGAAGAGAUCUUUGACAGUCACGAGUGUGGUGAGCUUACAACUCUAUUUCUACAAAAAAACGCGUUUGUAAAGAUCUCGGGUGAGUUCUUUCGAUGCAUGCCUCAUCUAGCUGUUUUGGAUCUAUCAGAGAAUCACAGUCUUGAGGAACUACCAGAAGAAAUAUCAGAGUUGGGCUCUUUGAGAUAUUUGGACGUGUCAUAUACAUGUGUAAAUCAGCUACCGGUUGGUUUAUGGGAAUUGAAGAAGUUAAUACAUCUCAAUCUGGAACACAUGAGCAGACUAGGGAGUAUUUUAGGGAUAUCAAGUUUGUGGAAUUUGAGAACAUUAGGACUACGAGGUUUGGUGCUAGAUAUGAGGCUAGUGAAUGAGCUAGAACUCUUGGAACAUCUACAAGUUGUAACCAUAGAUAUAUCAUCGGCUUCGGUUGUGAAGCCAUUGUUAUGGUCUCAUAGGUUGGUCGUGUGUAUCAGAGAGGUUGAUUUUAAGUACCUUGAGGAAGAAUCAAUGAGAGUCUUGACUUUGCCAACUAUAGUCAAUCUCCGUAGGCUCAGCAUUAAAAGGUGUGGAAUGAGGGAGAUGGAGAUAGAGAAGACAACUUCUUCGUCAUCAUCAUCAUGGAACAAAAUUCACACAGCUCCAUACUUCUCAAACCUCUCUAAAGUCUUUAUAACUAAAUGUCAUGGUCUUAAGGAUUUGACGUGGCUGUUGUUUGCUCCAAACCUUGCUUUUCUCCAAGUUAGUUUCUCAAGGCAAUUAGAGGAUAUAAUUUACCAAGAGAAAGCUGCGAGUGUUGAGAAUGCAGCUACCAUUGUUCCUUUUAGGAGACUAGAAACGCUGCACCUAUCUGCUUUACGUGGGCUCGAGAAAAUAUAUUGGAAUGCUCUGCCGUUUCCAUGUCUGAAAGUUAUCCACGUUGAAAAAUGUUGGAAGCUAAGAAAGCUUCCAUUGGAUUCAAAUAGUGGCGCCGGGGGUAAAGAACUGGUCCUAAGUUAUGGAGACAGAGAAUGGAUAGAAAAGCUUGAAUGGGAGGACCAAGCCACUCGAGUUCGUUUCUUAACUUCGUGCAGGUGGCACUGGCGAGCUACACAAUGAACUUCACUUGCUUUUCUUUUUUUUUUUUUUUUUAAAACUUUUUUUCGCCAGGAAAUACCAAAGGUACUUGCUUUUUUUUUUUUUUUUUUUUUUUGUAAAACUUUAUGUCGCCAGUGGUUUCACGACAUUUGCUGGUUUGUACAACUCUUGCUCUCUCCUAUUAUUUGCAUAAUUAAGUAUUUUUCUUAUCUCCCUAUUUGUAUAAUAUGCUAGACGUUUCAAUGCUUGUGUGUCGUGUCAAAGAUGGCCGAGAGAUGAAGCACAUACGUGGACCAGUUAGUGGAGAGUUUAUGUAUUGGAUGAACAUGGGACAUUAUCAGAAGCUUUCAGACAGAAUGAUUGUAAUGUUAGUUCCUCUUCACUCUUUCUCUCUGUUCUUGGUUUAGCAAUGUUAAUGUACAUAAUGCUCAUAAAACAAUUGCACUUUUAUGAAAGUUUUGGUUUACUUGUGUGGAUGAUUUGAAAGUGAUGGAUGUUUGAACAUCCUUUGACUUAGCAUGAGUGAAAUGCAGAACAGAGAAGAUGCAUACGCUGCUGUGGUAAGGCAAUGCCAACACAACAUCAAGUUAUGUAUUGUAGUAUAUCUAUUGGUUCUUAUCGAUGUUAUGUUCCAGAUAUUGUUGGAGAUUUCUCUAAACAAGGUCUAGGAACCGAGAUCAUACUUCCCAAGAGAAGAUCAAGAACAGUGCAAACAAAGGCAGAAGAUAUUCAAGUGACAUAUGGGUGUGCACAUCUUGUCCAAUCAAAGUGGAUAAAAAGAUGGAAAUCCCUCACACGGGGGAGAUCAUCUCUUCUUUACAAAAUUGAACGAACCGGAGUUUAAACCCCUUUUUAGGCCCAUUAGUUUGGUCGGUGGUACCAGGGAUGGAGGGAGGACUUGUGUUUGUUUAGGUUUGUUAGAGAGGAUGGCGGGGAAUGAUGCUGUGAAGACAGCUAAAAUAGUUGCGUGGUGGGACAUGAAGGACUGUCCAAUUCCGGAGGGGUAUGAUGCUCGUCGGGUACGUCCAAGUAUAGAAAGGGCGUGCAAGGAACGAGGCUUCUCUGGUUCUGUCUCCAUCACUGCCUAUGCCGACCAAACAAAAACCCCUGAUCACCACCUUCAAGCGCUCUCUUCCACUCGAGUCGCUGUUGCACAUACCAUAUCCGGUUAGUCUUUUUCUCUAAUGGUAGUAUAUAUAUAACAAAACAAAAACCCCUACACUAAACAUUAUUAUGUUUUCUUAAAUCCAUUCACAGAAUGUACGUGCAAACUCAUGUACGAGGAUAUUGUGGAAUGGCGAGGUCAUAAUCCACCUCCAGCGACAAUAAUGAUCGUAUCCGAUCACGUGGAAGGUGACUUCUCCUGGGAUCUAGCCCGGCUACAACAGCGCACUAGGUACAAACUUUUUAUGGCUUAUUCAGUCGAGAGUUACAAAGAUUUCUUCCUGCUCCGGAAUGCAAUAUGGCUUUGGAAUAAAUUACUAGAAGAAGGAGGAGGCGCACCACUUGUGGCGGGUGGAUUAUCAUCUGCCAUGUUUUAUUGCAAAUCUUGCGAGUUUGAUUGCCAAAGCCUGGAGAAAUUCAGGAAGCAUCUCUCCAGUUAUAAGCAUGGACGGGAAGAGUUUACAAGCGCUAGGUGGUACACACGACUCGAAUGUGUAACGAAGACGUGGAGAAGGAACUACAGGGCCACGCCUGAGCACGCCACAUCUAAAAUUCAGGUUUGGUGGGACAUGGUUAAAUGUCUGAUUCCAGAGGGGUAUGAUGCUCGUUUGGUCCGUCCAAGUUAGAAGCCUCAUUUAAGAAGAUAGGCUACUCUGGUCCUGUUUCUAUCACUGCCUAUGCCGACUAUAAAGAAACCCCUCAUCACCAUCUUGUAGCGCUCUCUUCCACUGGAGUCGAUCUUGCACAUACCCUCUACUGGUUAUCGGAUGUGGAUUGGGACGACUACGUCCCGUCGCUUAUUUCUCGUUAUCUACAAAAGAGUAACUACAACUGUUUUUUGGCUUACUCAUUUAGGCCUUGUAAAAUGACAGUUAUGCUCACUUCCGCUGAGUGGCUCUGGGAAAGCUUACUUGGAGGUUUUUCAGAGAAAAGAAGUCGACAGAUUCUUAAGAACUGCAGUGAAAGUGCAUCUACGAGAAUGUUUUAUUGCAAAUUGUGAAAGCCUCGAUGAGUUCACUAAGCAUCUCUCAAGAAGUAAAACACAUGCAAAGGAAGUACGCAUCCUCUCUCCCUCUCUCUGUAUCAAUCUCUCUCUGUAUCAAUAGAUUGUUCCAUUGUUUAACCAUUUUGAGCAACAACCUCUUUCCAUUCGUUGUCAAACAGGAGAAUAGAAUUAUUUCGCGUUGUGAAUUUCAAGACCGCGAGCGCACGCUAACUAAAAUAUCCAACUACAACCAUGAGGCAAGUUUUUCUUAAUGAUAUAGUUGUAGAUUUUUUUUUUAAAAUGUAAUACAUGUCCAAAUACUCAUUGUUUCAUAUACAUGGUGUAGAUAGGAUAAUCUCCCAAGAACAAACGUAUGAGGAAGGCACCCCUGAAGUGUAGUGAAGCUCUUAUCUUCCUUCCUAGUCUAUGUUUCCUUUUGCUGGUUUAAACCCAAUGCUUGUUUAAAUUAAGACUCUUUUUCGGGAACACGAGGAACGAAUAGGAAAUGAACGUAUAUGAAUAAAAUUGCAGGAAUGAAAAUGAAUGCUUGUCCCUUAUCAAAUUUAACAAAAAAAUGUUUUUGUUCUAUAUUUUUCUACAAAAAAAAGGUAUGGAGAAGAAUAAGAAGGAAAAACUAUUCCUUGUGAAUGAUGUUUUUUUUUUUCGAAUGAUAAGGUAUUCAGUGUUCUCUUUCGUUCCUUGGUCACCAUUCAAAGCCUAAAUGGAAUGUGUCCUUUUCUUCCGUUUAUCGAACUUCUUGAACAUCUGAAUAAAUAAUUACUUCAAAGUUUAGUUAGAUUCAAAAACAUACUCCUUCUAUUCCUGAAAUUAAGAUUUUUUAGAUUUUUUUCUUGUUCCACAAAAAUAGAUUUUCUAUAUUGUUAAGGUACUUUUUUAUACUUUUGAAAAACAUUAAUUGAGAAUAUUUAAAUUGAUUAAAUUUCAUUGGUAAAAAUUUAUUGGAAAAUGUAUAAUAAAAAUAAAAAUAAAUUAAAUUAUAAAUAUUUAUUAAAUUUUUAAUUAACGUGAAUACUCUAGAAAAUUUUAAUUUCAAGAAUGGAAGGAGUAAAUGGUCUUGGGAUUUGUGGCCUAAGUAAAAGAUGAAGUAAAAGACACACUGAUGAUGAUAGUUCACAUGCCUCUGUCUCAUAUUAUGCUAAAUGUUUUCUUUAUGAUUUCAGAUCGGUGCAGACGACUUUGGCGAUUUACAAACUAUGAGUUGGCCUAGUGGUAAAGGGUUCUGCCAUUUGGGUUCAACUCACGGUGGGAGAGACUAUUUAUAAUGCUUGAGUUUCCGGCAAAGAGGUGAAAACACUUUUUUUUUUUUUUUUGGAAUGGGUAACUAGUUAUUUGUUUUUAUGAUCGACAAUAGUAAGAAAUUUUUGAUAUAUCUUUUACCAAAAAAAAAAAAAAAAAAUUUUGAUAUAUCCAAGCUUAUCGGCUGGACCUUGUUUGUCAAACUUAAAGAGCACGCCCAAAUUAUGAUGUCCCUUGCACCAAAAUAAAUGGCGAAGAUUUUUGAUCGUUUUCACAAUUUUCUUUUUUUUUUGCUAAAGAUUUAAAAAUGAUCUUAGAUCGACAAAUGAGAAUAAUAUUCGUCGCUUUUCCAUUGGAAUAUCUUUCAGCAUAGCGAUAUGGAGUUUCUUGUGUACGCGAUGAAAUUUCGUAGGGAAUGUUAUAAUCGUAUCGGAUGGAAUUCGCGACAAAGUUUACAACAAUUUUUCUUUUUAAUAGAGUUUACAACUAUGUAGGAAAAAUUUAAUAUAUUAGACACACAUGUAUAUGUUCAAACUGGUUUGAAUCAACGUUGCAUGUUGUAGAAAAAAAUCAUGCAUGUUGUAACAAAUAUUAGUCACAAAUUAUAUUCAUUUAAUUGCAGUGAAAAUGUAAUAUACGAAGUAAAUUGUAAUAUACGGUUUCUUUUUGUGCCGACCUUGAAAAAACAUAAUAAUUGUUAAAUUCUCCAUGAGAUAAUAAAAAAGUAAAUGCUCUUCUUCUUUUGACCAGAAGAAACAAAAAUAAAAUCAUUCCUUCUUUCUCCACUGCCUGUCUCUAUAUAACAUAAUCUUGACUCGAGCCAAUAUGUAAAUAAUUUUUUUGUAUCUCCUUAAAACCACAUUCUUCUCCAUCUUCUUACACUAUUUAUGGUUAUACAUACCCAUCAAGCUUCCUUGGAAUUAUUAUCCUUAUGAACACAACUCUGGUAAGUGGCAGACUACAUGUGUCAUUUGAAUACUCUUCUGAAUUUUAUGUAUGCUGCUAUUGUUGUACAUGUUCAAAUUAUAUACAAACAUAAUUAAGGCAUAAUUUUUCAGAAUACCAAAUUCAAUAAUCUUGAAUUCUAAAGAACAAACUGAGAUGUGAUUAUGUGAUUAUAGUACAGCGAGAAUCCGAGGCAAAUAAAAUUGAAAUAGCAGAUUAUUUAAAAACUAAAAUGAUAAGAAGAGACAAUUGUCUCUUUUUCAAAAAAAAAAAUAUGGGAGUUACAUUUAGAUUAUAAUUUAUAUGGUUAAUCUUAUCAAGUACAAGUAUAUAUGCAUAUAACAUAAGUUCAAUAAUGUAGUAAUUAAUAGAAUCAAUCAAAGCAAAUAUAAUUAUGUACCGUAAUCAACAUCUACACUUAAUUAGUGUUCGUGUGUACGUAUAUAUAUGUGGAUAUAUGCAUUUAUAUGAUAUAUUAUUUCUGCUCACUUCCAUAGGUCAAUCUGACAACUCGAAGAAGUAGAAGCAGCAUAUUCUUCUCCCAUGUCGGAAACUCUUUCCUGAUCUUUUUCUUCAUCAACUUGGUACUCCAUGUUGCUUGUGUCAUUGGCAUUGUUCUGUUGAGAAGCAGAAGCUGUGGCGGCCUCUUCGUUGCUUAGCUGAGAAGCGACGAAUUUAUCAAGAACUCUCCAGUCGGUGACCUGGUCCAUCGCUUGCUCGUUCCCGCUAUUCAUGUAUGGAGAGCUGAAAAUCUGAUUCCCUUGAUUCAGUUGUUCCUCAUGCGCGAGAUUAGACUGCUGCAAGUUGGCAAUACGGCUCGAGUUAUUAUCGUGGUUGCUUGAGAUGCAAUUACUAUUAUCUUGUUGGAUCUUAGGGCUUUCAAGCUGAGGAAGUUGGAGGAAUGAUAAAGGAGAUUCAUGAAGAAAAUGAUGUUGUUGUACCAGGUGGUUGUAUUGUAGCUCUUGCUUGCUUGGCAAGUUAGGGUUGUUGAGAGCGUAAGCAGAUGCAUUGAAUCCAUAUGGUAAAUGCUGUUGGUACUGAUGCUGGUGCUGAUGAUGAUGAUUGGAGAGAAUCCGCCGUGGACCGUUUGUCUCGAGCUCAGAUGCCAUAAAAGAGAGCUGGUCGUCAUACCAAUGUGAAGGCGAUGAGUCGUAAUCUCCCAUUCGUCUCACUGCAGCCAAUCUCUUCUUGAAAACCCUACACACAACCCAGCCUUCUUCCUACAACCAAAUAUCAUAUAUGGGAUGAUCUCAAAUGGUCUAGGAGAUCACGAUUGUGUGAAGAGAAGUUAUGGUUUAGGGUUGAUAUAAUACCUGAGGAGUUCCAUUUUCAUCGGUUUCUAAGCGGUAUUCAUGCAUGAUCCAAUCAGAUUUUUGUCCAUUUGGGGCUCUUCCUUUGUAAAAUACAAGUGUUUUCCUCAUACCAAUAAGGCUAUGCCUCAAGUAUAUAGCCUUAUCUCUUCCAGUGGCUUUCCAAAACCCUGCUUUAGUUGCUCUGUUGGUUCGAGUCCCUGUGGGAUACUUUUUGUCUUUAUGGCUAAAGAAGUACCAGUCACUUUGCUCCUCAUGUCCAAUUUUGCACAACUCUAUUUUUACAAAGAAAUGAAAUCAGUUUUUUUUUUCUUUAACUUUUAUUAGGAAAUUAGAAUAAAGAAUGAAGGCUAUAUAUAGAGGCCAUGUGAUGAGGCAAACCUUGAAGAUCCCAUGGCUCAAUCUUGUAAAGAUCAAUGUCCUUUAUGAAAUCGAUUUCUAUUCUCUUGGAUGCAACUUUUUUCCUCAGGUAGUAGUCUACAAGUUCUUCGUCUGUUGGGUGAAAUCUAAAACCCGGAGGAACGUGUGAAAAUGAAUUCAUACUUUCGACUUCGUAAUUAAUUAAUAACCUGCUUAUUAAAAAAACUAACAGUUACAUAUAUAUAUUGUUAACAUAAUUAUGUGAUUUUGAUAAUGAGUGUUAUGUCUUAGUUAGCAGCUACUUUUGUUACAACUAUGAUAUAUGAAGACCAAUCACAUGGUAAAACUAUAUUUCCCCGGAAUGAUUAAAUUUAUUUUUAUUAGAUUCACGGUAAAUAAUCAGAGUAUAACAAUUCCCAUUUUUCAUAUGAUGAUAGUUUAAAUUAUACAGUUAGAUACGUGCACUAUAUAUAUAUAUAUAUAUUAUGAACAAGAUCGAUCAAUUAAAGUAAAAAAUCUGCUUAAUUAUUGAUUCAUUUGUAUAACAUAAUCUUGGAUGUUUUAUUGCAUUUAAGUUAAUGUAACCAAACAAGUAAAGUUCAGAAAAUGAAGAGGAGAACAGCCUUUAAACUGAGGUUGAUUUUCUAGAUUCUUGUAUAAAAGCGUAUUAAAAAUCCUAAUCAACACAACGAAGAUCGAUUGAUUUUCUAUAUUAACUUAAUAGUUAAGACUUAGAUGAUAUUUUGCUUUGCUUGUAAUAUCAGCAAGAUUAAGUAUGAUGAGAUAAAAUAUGACGAUGAUAAUCAAGGUGAUUAACGAAGACGACGAUAAUGGAUUAACGAUGAUUCAAAAGUAAAUACUUUUACCUAAACAAGAAAGAAAAACAAAGUAUUUGUGAAGGUGAUGAUCGGAGAAGAAUAAAAAGUUGAUAGUGGAUUAGGGUUUUACCUGAAGAAACUCUAGAUAGAAGAUUAUUCAGCUGAAACGAAAUUUUGUGUGUUUUGGCUACUGUAUGCUUCUCAUCAGAAGUUUGAACACUUCAACACAAGACUAGGGAGAGAAGGGGGUCCCUGAAAGAAGAGGGGACAAGAUUUGACAGUGCUUCUCUGGAAUAGGUUACCGGAAGUAGAUAUCAGAUCCCGAAGAGAGAAAGAAAGAAUGAUAAAAAGAAUGGGAAAAGGAGAAAGAGAGUAGGGUUUAAUAUAAAGAAGAUCAAUCGAUGAAGAGCGCACAAAAGACACAAAAAAGAAGAUGACAACCGUGUCCUAAUAAUCUAUUAUAUUUUAGUUUUUUAUCUCUCUCUUUCCCUAUCAAUCAUACUUUUCUUUUCUCUCUGAGUCUUCUUGCACCUAGAGAGAGAAAGACAGAGGGGGACUUAAUUUGUUGCAAAAGCUUCGGGAGUAGAGAGAGAAGGAAGUAGAGAGAGAAGGAUAAGGGGGCGAAGUAGUAUUUCCAGAGAGAAAGAGAGAGGUGGCAACAUACAUUACCACCCACCAGCUCUUGAUGGAUAUGCUUGGUCAUCCCUAUUAAGGUUCUUUCUUUUGUUUGUCCUUUACAUUAAGCUUAUUUUAUUAGUUUCAGUUAGGUCAUUUUUCAUGUCCAAAAAUGUCUUAUAUCCAUACUAAAAGUAACUCAAAUAUUGGCUUUUAGUAUGUGUUUUGUCCAAAUAUCUAUACAUCCAUAAUUUUCAGAUAUUUUUUCUCCUUUUCUAUAGAGACAGUAAUUACUUGAACGUUUCUGCACAAAACACUAAAUGCUAAAGACUAUCAUAAUAUCUUUUUAAAGGAAUAUCUGCAUAUUUCUUUAAUUUUUUUAUUUCAUAAAUGUUGAAAAUAAUAUGUUAUAAGUUACCCACUAGCUACUUCAUAUAAGCUUAAUUAUGCAAUCAAAAGUUGAAUAUAUACGACUAAUUCAUUCAAAACAUAGUGUAUCCAUUAUAAUGUGAAUUAACAAUUUUCUUUUAAGGAUCAAGUUGAUUUUUUUUCUUUUCCAACUACUGAUCGGUUGAAAUUGAAACCAUUUAGGUUGAAAGCCAUAGUACUAAUACCUAAAACAGUAAACCAAAUACCUAUUACCGGCCAAGCCGUCCUGAGUGCUGGUUCGGUGAUUCAUGCCAUGUCAGAUGAGUAAGAUAUGCGGAAGAUGGGGGGGGGGGGGGGGGNNNNNNNNNNNNNNNNNNNNNNNNNNNNNNNNNNNNNNNNNNNNNNNNNNNNNNNNNNNNNNNNNNNGCUUGCCCUCCUCCUUCCCUUGCCAUAAUGUUCAUAGGCAGCUUAAAUUGGAUUUCCUUUUCUAACUGGAGUUUAUUCCAAAGAUGAGCUAUCCCGGUCAUUACCGAAGUAUCAUUCUCAUUUUAUGAGAUGACUUCGGUCUAUAUCAAUUAAAAGAAAUGCAAAAGUAGUAAAUGAAAAAAAAUUUAGACCGGAAAUUUAUUGGAUCUUCGAAAAGAAGACUUUCUAAGUUUAGAAUGAAAAAUGAUUUAGAUUCGAAAUAAUUCAAAUCGAUAUUUCUUUCUCAUUUGUAUAUGUAUGAUAUAUCCCACAAGACUUGUAUAUAAUAAGAAAAGAAAUUCGAGUUUGUAAAAGUGUCGGAUGAAUGAAAAAAGAUAAUGAAUUUUUGAAUAACUAAAAAGAGGGUAAGGUGUCAAACAGAUUUUUUUAGGGAGUAGGGUUGGGGAUAGAGGGACUUGAACCCUCACGAUUUUAAAAGUUCCACCAACUGUAGCAGUACCAUCCGCUAAUUUUUUUCCCUUUUUAAUGCAUUUACCCCGGCGAACCUGAGGUUUUUGAUGCAUACAAGUAUUUUUGUUUGAGCGUUGAUACAUAAUUAAUGGAAUACUUACAGUAUUCUCAUUCCCCGAUAAAAUUAUCUUCUCAGUGUCAGUAUAAAUGAUUUUUCCCUCUUGUUCGGCUAUAGUGGGAUCCCCCGAAUCUAAAGCCACUUGGCGAUCCAAUCCAGUUCCAACAAAGCUCUUCUCUUCUGAAUCGGAUAGAUUCAUAUCUGAAAGAGUUUGACAAUACGUUCUUUCCAAAUUUACUCUUUGUCCCUCUAUUAGAUGUGUUCCAGAAAUGUCUGCAAUCGAGUAAAUAGCUCUACGAACUAAUGGAUCGGAUCGAAUAGGAAAAUGGAAAGGUUUGUACAAGUUAUACCUUUCGUCGCCACUUUGUGGAAAAUCGUUAGAUAUGAAUAUGUUAGAUACCUGUGACCCGAUUGACGAAGGUGAUCGCGGAGCAACAGCCGCGUCCGGAUCAGAUCUACAUACUCGGCAAUUCAUCCGGUGACUUCACGGUCGCCAAAGAAGCCCCAAGAAGCAUCAAACAUUUCCGAUGAGAUCCAUGGAGCAAUUCUUAGAUAGCAAGCACUAGCUCCCAGUGGGACUUCAUAAAAAGAAAUCAAACAUAAGAUCGAAGAGAAUGAAACGCACGUAGUGGUCAGAAUAGCGCUUCCUUCUGAUCCUAGAAAACGUCCGAAAAACCCUACCACUUCGAGUGCGAGAAGGAAGGCUGAUGAAGAAGAAAAGAACUCGACUUUUCCAAAGACAUAUGAGGCAUACUCAGAUGAGUCUUCGUGUCCAGAAGUCUAUAAUACCUCCUAUACUUCAGGCUACAUUUGGUUAAGCAGUAGAUCCAAUCCAGCUUAGCAAGCUCUAGAGAAGGAGUUGCCUGCCGUAUUGCCCGUAGUGUGUACUGAGGUAAGGCACGACUUAUCGGCUAGCUGCUCUAUUGCUAUCUCACAGAGCUCCUGUUUGUUUUUUGGAAAUGAGCUAGCUUAACCCUUAUUGCGACAGGCUUAAUACAAUCGUGUUGGAUCUCCUAUUCGUUCUGCUACCAGGAAGAGAAAGACUGAUUGCGACAGCUCAACCGGAUGAGACAUCUCUUAUUUACAUAACUAUGCCAACCGAGGAACGCCUACCAACUCCGCCAACCCCAUUGAUUUAGCCGCACCUGAACCCGCAACCGAGGAAUGCCUCUCCUUUCAGUCGAGUUCCGUUGGACCUCUACUCCGCCUACUUCUUGUGCCAACUUCGACUGCCUUAUUUCGAGAUCUUUCUAUAAAGAAAUUUCAGUUGAAAAAACCAAAGGCGAAUUACUGCAUCAACCGCUAGGAAUGUGGAGAAGAAGUAAAACUGAAUGGUUCCACUUACACAAAACUAAGAGGGGAUGCCGCCUACUACUAAAAUCUCGGUUUUUGCAACAGUUGCGUUCUUCUAUGCAAGAAGAAGACUUAGAAAGAACAAAGAAGUUUGGAUCCGAAAAAGUAUGCUUAGGAAGUUCAUUCGCUGAGCACAAGAAAGCCCAUAUAACCUCGGCCCUCCCAAAUCAAGUUCAGUGGUCUCUACCCAUCCAAAGGAUCCGAAACCAGUCAAUCAUGCUAUCCUUACCUUUCAACCAAUCGGCCAAUCACGCUAUACUUACCUUUCAACCAACCCCUUCGGACUCAGGUUUAUUUGUUUUUAAAUAAGUGCGAAGGUAGGCUCAAGCAAAGAUUCUGCUCGUGAGCGUAAUGGUAUAAGCCUGCCUGACUGUGAGACCGACUGGUCGAACAGAGACGAAAGUCGGUGUAGAAACCCGUUUAAAAAAAAAGAAAGAAAGAAUGAUCGAGUAUCUUUGUGGUGGUCGAGUUGCGGACGAUCAGAUUGUUCUUGUUUGAACCAUGAGUCAAGAAUGCCACUAGGCCAUGGUUUGACAAGGCCUUAGAUUGAUCAGAUGGAUGUUUUGGAACCAAGCACGACGGGAUAGAAGCACGACGGGAAAAUCCAAAAUUGGACUAAAACCUUAAUUUCGGUAUUAUGGAAGUUUCUGAUCAAGCCGAAGAAUCAGGAAAUAUUUACCGCCAAGGUCAGAGUUCAGAUUGGAGUUUAUUAAAAAUAUUCAGCUCAUCAGAAUGGGAGUAGAAAAAUAUUCGGGAUUGAUCGCGUGUCAGAAAUUUACCGGAAGGACCGAAAUCAGGGCAAUGGACCGAGAAGCUCGAGGUGGCUCGUUGCAUGGGUUCAGAACGUGGUGUCAACCAUAUUACAAGCUGAGUGUCUACAGAAGCUUGAGGUGUCGUCGUGCAUGGAAGUUGUACAUGCAGCCUGACAUGUAGAAGCACGAGGUGGAUUGACCAAGCACGAGGUGUUUCCGCGCAUGCAACCGAAGCAUGCUGCUCGACAUGUGUGUGAUGCUGUGGCGCCUUGCAUGAGUUCUAGUCAUGCAGCCUGAUAUCUGGGAGUAGUGGUGGCGUCCUGCAUGUGUCCUGGACAUGCAGCAAGCCAUGUGGAGCACGAGGUGCCGCCGCGCAUGCGUCUGGAGCCAUGCGAAACGACACACGGGCUGCCACCAACCUGAAGCUGAUUGGUUGAUGUCUUCUAUAAAUAGCCCUCGACCCCAGCUCAUUUCAACACAUCCAGACCUGUCCAAAGCCAGUUAAAUACGUGAGAGAAAAGUAGAAAAAGAAAGCAAGAGUUUCCGAUCUAUUUCGAGAAUUUUAGAGAGAUUGCGAGGUCAGUUCUCUACUGAUUUCGAGUCAGCGCCUAGGGACGGUUCUGUCCAACUGAAUUCGUCCAGGCCACUCAGUUCCUUUGAUGAUCAACUAGAGAUGCUGUCCGGAGUUAGUUCAGUUCUACGGGUUCAGAUCAGUCGAAGUUCUGCUCGAUACUCCGCCGGGAAGUCCGAAGAACUGUCCAGAAGCUAGAGGAGGUUCUGUUCGAGUCCAGAUCAGCCUGUCGAGGCAUGUCAGUUUCUUCAUGGUGUAGCCGAGGUUGUAUCCAAGACAAGAUCAGUCCAGUCCACUCCAGUCAUGUCGCCAAUUGGGUUUUGGCCAAGUCUUCUCCAAUCAACCAGCUGCUUAUCGGCAAAGAACACUGUGAGUUAUGAUCAAUUGAUUGCUGAGUUGUUUUCAUGCAUGUUCUCGUUACUUGGAAGUUGGAUCAUGGCAGGAGGCAAGGUCUAACUGAGUAACGGUUUUAUUAGUUAAUAGUUGAGGUUAUGUUGAUUGAGUUGAUGGCAUGCUUGUUAUUGCUUGAGAGCCGUAGUAGCAUGCUAAUGGUUAGCUUGAUUGGUUAGUUAGCGAAUGCGGAAUGCUUAGAUGAUAUCACUAAGUUGUGGAUAGUUAGGUAUUCUGGAAUUAGUCUUUACGCCAGAUUCUGGAAUAUGAUUGAUUGUGUUAAUUUGCGAUUAAUACUAGGAACCUUGUGUUAUUUCACCGAGUUUAGUAUUAAUCAUAUAUUGGUCAUAUAGCAUUUGUGUAACCCACAAUGCUAGGCAUGUUUGAAGUGGAAUGUGUUGGUUGUGUGGCGAUUAAUACUAGGAACCUUGUGUUAUUUUUUACCGGGUUUAGUAUUAAUCAUAUAUUGGCCGAUAGCAUUUGUGUAACCCACAAUGCUAGGCAUAUUGGGGUGAGUUAGUGUUCCUUCAGACCUCGUACCCGGCGGGUUCAAGGAAACCCCUUAUUCGCUGGAUCAAGAAGACUCAGAUAGACGGGGUCAUGGCCUAUGGCUGAGUGAUUACAUGACGGUGUAGUGUGGCAGUGACCCGAAGGACUGUGGGCUGUCGCACGGUGACCCCGAAGGACAGUGGACCGCAGUCGGUUGAAAGUUCUUUCUUCUGGCCUUUGUGGUAGGGAGAUAGGAUAUUGCCGAUAGUGAAGGAGGAACCUAACGUCACCAGGGCCCGAGUUAACUAUAUAUAUUAUAUCGUGCUUCAGGUUGUUAAACCAUGUUUUCAAUCGAGGUUGAGUUUGGUGAUGAGCUAGUAAUUAGCAUAAUGCUAGUUAUCUUGCUAUCGUUUACCGCUGCGUAUUUCUGAUAUUGCUUAUGUUAUUGAAUUGUGCGAUUAGGUGAACCUCUCGCUUUAGAUUGUUUGGGGCGGUAUAGCGUUGCUAUCGUUUACCGCUGCGUAUUUCUGAUAUUGCUUAUGUUAUUGAAUUGUGCGAUUAGGUGAACCUCUCGCUUUAGAUUGUUUGGGGCGGUAUAGCGAGGGGUUGUAUUUGUUAGUUGGGGAUUGUAACUCACUGAGUAACAUUAGGUUACUCACCCAAUUCCGUUGUCUUUUUUUUGCAUGUCGCUUUAGCAAGGAUGAUCCGAUAGCUUGGUGUUACACUUUUGGACCGCCGGAGUAGAUUUCAUGCCUUUUGUAAACGGUAUUGCGUUAUGUGUUUUGUUGGCUCGAUUUGGCAUUAGGCCGGGCCCAGUUUUGAAUUAUUUCAAUGUAUGGAUAUUUCUUGAAUCAAUAAAGUAAAUGUUUUAUAUGUGCUUCAUGAGUACUCUGAUAUUUGACUAGUCCGGUCUAACACAACGUUAGGUCGUGGUACGGGUUGAAAAGCCUUAGGCCUCGAUCUAACGGAAAACACUAACUCUAGGUCGUGGAGUAAAGUUUGUGACUCUGGCUAGAUCGUCCCUAACCCGUCACGUAGCGCUUCCGGACCAUGGUGUUGGGUUGGACGAUCAGUCAUGUUCUUGUUUGAUUGGUGGCUGGAUGGUUGGCCUUUCAUCUCUAACCCUGGGUGAUGGACGGUCGAUCGGUCAUGUUCUUGUUUGAUUGUUGGCCGGUUGAUUGACCAUAUGUCUAGGACGGUUCGGGUGUGUUACAGUCGGCCAUAGUGAUCCGGGAGUCCCGUGUGGAAGGGCUCCCGCCCAACGGAUCAAAGGUACGCCGGGGAUAACUGGCUGAUGACUCCCAAGAGCUCUUAUCGUUGGAGUCAUUUGGCACCUCGAUUUCGACUCAUCACAUCCUGGGGUUGAAGAAGGUCCCAAGGGUUCGGUUGUUCGCCGUUCACUUUGUUCUUUCUCUUCCCUUCUCCCGUUAGCUUGUUCCCCUCCUCCCUUCCCAACCUUCCCAGCCCUUCCUCCAAGAGUAGUUACGCCUUUUCCGUCAGUGGAGAGAGCGAGCAACGACCUGUGAGCGCCCGUAGCUCACUCUGCAAGUGGUAAGGCGUAGUUCACCCCCUAUCGAACGGAGGAAGAUCGAUUCUUUCUACCUAUUCUAUGUGUGCGUCUCGAUAAUCUUUUAGAAGAGCUUCCACGCCCCAUCUUUGGUCCCAAUUCACCUGCACCCGCUAUAGCAAUUCAAAUAAGUGGUUAUUGAGUUCAUGGAACACAAACAGAAUCUUGAAUUUUGUAUAGAAAGAAAAGAUAGUUCGUUCCUCACAGCAGGACUAGUGUAAACAGGUUCUAGGUCAAGCGAUCCUAUAGGCAAGUUUGAAAGUCGUUACCCACCCCACCAUUUCUUCUCGCCGACCAAGGCGAGGCGCUCUUAAGCCGUUUCAGGAAGGGAAGGGGCCAUCUACUACAAAAUCAUACCUUUCGGACGUUGCCACCGCUCAAUCCACCCCUGCAGAAAGUUGGUAUUCAAGAUACUGAAACUAUGUCAAGAAGGGGUAACUAGGAAUAAAAACAGGGAUCCACGUCGAGCCAUCCUGACGGACGAGCAACAUCAAUUGAUUCGGCAGACACAAAGACGAAGACAGAGACGAGCUAACAUGUAAAGUAGUGGAUUGGAAAAGGAUGGUAGCCCACCCAGGACAGCAGAUAGAGUAAGGUUGGCUCUAUGCGAGAGAGGAAAACAGCAUGGACGCGGCUCCUUUUGGAUAGAUCGUCAAGCAAUUUACCCAUAUAGUUAUUAUCCCGAGGUUGAAAUACAAUCCAUUACAUCUGGAUUGAAACUUGAGAACCUCGAGAACCAAAGAUAUAAACUGAAAGAUAGAAGCUAUCUAACAAUUUGAAUAUGAAUAGGAACAGCCUUCAUAGAGAAGAGACAUGGACAAUGUAUCCUUAACAGUAUGGCAAUCUCUUCCUCUUUCGAUUGGCAAGGAAGAAAAAAUAGUAAAGUGAUAAAAGAAGCAACUCCUUGAGCGGCUCUAUCAAGGAGCAGAGGCAAAAGAUCUUCUCCAGUGGUCAUUAGUAAUGCACUAAGUGGUCCUUAUCGGGUGCAUAAGAGGAGAUUCUUAACAUCAGGAAUAUCGGCCUUAGCAUCUUUCUUAUAAAAAAUGAUAUUUCUCUACUUGAGAAGGUUCUUACCAUGCAUACUACUCAUCGAUUAUUUUGCUCUUUUGGAUCGAAACAACCUAUUAAAGGUUGUCACCUACAUAAUCUACCUCCCAGACUAAAGGAAGAAGGUCUCAGAUCCAUGUAGUUCGAGCCCUUUUGUUAAAGCAGUUCCUGUACUUUGAAUGAAUUCAAGCUAGUAAAGUAGUCUGCUUGAAGGGGCCCUCCUCACCACUCCCCUUCCCCUUAUAUCAUGGAAGCAAGCCAAACGAAAGCAAACUAAGCAUGAUACAAGGGCCUGCCUUUCGGUACGUGAAAACGGCAGUUACACUCUUUCACUGUCUUACUUUGGCCCCUCUCUAGCCAAAUCAAAAAUAGGAACACCCCCUGAGACACCGAAAAAAUGCUAUAUAACAGAUAGACCAUGUCAGCCUCCACCUUCAUCACUAAGCAACAAAAAUGACGCGAUCCUUACUGUCCAUCUUUCUAUAAGCCAACUCCAAAGUUUAAACCUAUCCAUAUUCUUGUCAUUUCUUUUCCUCGCCGCACACAAAUAGAAGAAUUCCCAAUAAAAGAAGAAAGAGGCCGAGUCCCUCGAUCCACCCUUCUAGCCAUUCCAGGUUUGGAAAGUAAGGAAGUAAAAAGUGCAAUGCUCCAAAAAGUAAGGGGACCAAAGGUUGUCGUUCCGCCCGGAUAUUCCUUUGAAAAAGGAAUAAACCCCAAAAAAUAAAUAAGUGACAGGCUAGAAAAACAAAGAGAAUGGGGCAUGAUAUGUUCUCUCCUCCCGGCGCCGAAGCUAUCGAAAAAACCCCUAUACUACUCGAUAGAAAAUAAAUGAAAAACGGAAAAAGGGAAGUUUUCCUCGUCUCUUAAAGCAAAGGAAAAUGAUGCAAACACCUGACACCAUGGCGGUUAGCUGCGCCGGUUUGCGCAGAAAAUCUUCACCAUAAUAGCCUUUUCCUAGAAACCAAAAAUAAACACUCAGAAUGAUAAAGGGACAGAGGGAUUUUUGGGGGCGUUCCUCCAAAAAGAAGCAAAAAAGAUAGUAUGUUAUUAGCUGACAAAGAAGAAAAAAGACCCAUUGCGCGAGGUCCCUUUUCCAAUAAAUAGAAGAUAAGAAUCGCACAAGGAAGAACGUCUGAUGGAAAAAAUCAAAUUAAUAAACAAAAAAGAGGAAAUCGCAUCCUUCCACCUUGCUCCGAUUGAGGGGGAGUCUUAGUGUAUCUAGGUUAUACUGUUAGUUGUGUCGUAUGUAUUAGCUCAAGGGCUUAAUUGUAAUUUAACUUGAAGAGAUCAUCUAUAUAAAUAGACAUCUGAUGCCUUAAUUAGGGCUAAGCACUGAAAUUUGUCCUAAACCAAUUUCAGAAACAUUUUGUUAUGGUGGGGAACAAAAACACUUAUUUCUCGUUCAGCUAUGGUAGAGAGGUCCCCCACUUCGAUUCCCGCCCGUGGCCACCUGCUUUCCCAAAAGAAGGGGAGAUCCGCUGCUUACUGCUCACAGAAACAUCCGACUUAUACUAUAGUCAAGUUGUCCACCUAUCUUUCUUUUUUCUUUUUCUUCUAUUCACAUCAGAUUUUAUACUUUCACCAAUUUAAGGUGAAAAGGGGGAAAGAAGAGAGCUUUGGAAUUCGCUCACUUCUGAAUUUGAAGUUAUCGAGAUUCUCAAUGUGGGGAGGCGUUCCUCGGGAAUGGCGGUUCUCAGACAAGGGAAUCGUUCCUCUCUAAAUCAAAAUUGGCUAGAAUGUUCCUACAGUGAUGAAUAUAAGCGCAAUUGAAAUUCCUGGAGAGUUAUACAUUUGUAUAUUGAUAAGACCAUUCACUAUUUCUUGAAGCUCAAUCUCUCUCCCAGAUGAACCAUAUAGCCAAGAGAAACCAUGAACCAAAAUAGAAGAGCUUGUCCCACCCAUGAGUAAAUAUUUCAAUUUUUUGUUUUAUUUUUCAUAUUAUUUUUCCAAAAAGUAGAUCCGUAAGCAUCUAUCAUCGGUUCACUAAUUAUUUGAGUGACUGUUGGCGGGUUUCUUUGUAUGUGUUGUCCGGAAAGAGGAGGUCCGUGAACGGGUUUUCCAACAAGCUUUACAGGGAGCUAUAGGAACCCUAAAUAGUUGUUGUUUUUGAUCCCUCCGACCCUGUUCUUGAACCAAUGUGGAGACAAGGUAUGUUCGCUCUAUAUGAAUUAGCUGUUUUUGAUCCCUCCGACCGGAUCCAGCGGUUUCAAUACGUGAAAAAAACAACCUGGGACGUAUUGAAAUAUCAAAUAUAUAUACGUUAUGCAAUGUGAUUCAGUAAUUUAGUCCUAGGAACAAAAAAACUCUUUAAACUAUAAUAGGUUUUUCCAUUAAAUGUGAAAGUAAUUAUUUCUGAUCACAAAUAUAUAUAUAUAUAUAUAUAUUCUUUUGGUAAACAAAAAUUGGAACCAAAGUUUUCCAAAAGUAAAUCUUGGAAAAUUAACCUUCAUUGAUAUUUAGUUUUUCUAUGAUAUUUAGUUUAGUUUUUUUUAUAUGUAAAAUCAACAGCAUAAACAUCACAAAAGGAUAUUUAGUUUUUUCUAUGAUAUUAUUUUUUGUUUUUUCAAAAUUCACAUAAUAUAAAAAUAUGUAUCUACACUUAGGGAGGUGUAUUCAAUAUAACAUUUUAGGUGAUUUGAUUUUUAAUUGAGUUUUAUGAUUUCAAUAAGUUGCAGAGAUUUAGGUGAUUUUUGUUUAACCACUCUAGAAUAUAACCUAAAACCAUGACAUUUGAGUUUUAAUUUUUUUAACUAAUCCACAACUUAAAAUAUUUUUAAUAACAGUGGAUUUUAGAGUACUCUACGAAAUGUUAAGUUCAAUAACAGUGGAUUUUAAAUGAGUUUUUAAAAUUCAUGUUUGAAUACCAGUAGAUUUAUCAUUUUAAUACAAAUCACUUAAAACUCUCGGUUGAAUACACUUCCUAAAUGCAUGUAAGAAUUUGCACUGGCAUAAUCAUUCCGACGAAAACAAACGUGGAGACAUCCUAAAAAUAUUAUGAAAGUGUAUGUAUUCUUCAUGAAGAUAACCUGCAAACUAAAUUUGUAUGAUACUUUUGAAAAGUAAUUAUUACAUAUGUUUUUGUAUAUAAUCUUGAAUAUUUUCAUCAUUUGGAUGUGUCUGUUUUAUGCAUAAUCAAGUGAAACAUUAACACUAAUUAGGUUCUCAAAAUUUUAAUAGUUAAUAUAUAAACACAUGAUUUUAAUUUAUUAAAAAAACUAUUUGUUUUAAAUUGUUUAUCGUCCCAAAAUUGAGUUUUAAUCCAUUUAUAUAUAUUUUUAUUUUGCCAUGUUAACCUGCAUUUCUAUCUCUUGCAAAUCGAAAUUAGUUUGAUUAGUGUUAUGCUAUUUUCAUCCUCUUACUAUUAUGAUUAAGAAAGAAAAUGUGAGAAAGAAAAUGUGAGAUUUAUUCUCAAGAAUAUAAGUACAUUACGUCUUAUAGGGUUUGUUUGGUGUAGUUUUGUUGGUCAUCAUUUAAACAAUUAAGUAAAACUAUUGCUCAGCUCAGAGUCGAAAGACUCAAUGACUGAUCUAUAUAAGAAAAUUAAAAAAAAAAAAAAAUCAAAUAUUGUAAAAACAGCUGACGGAUGUAAGUGGAAAGCGGGACCCACAAAGGGAAAACGGAAUGAUGUGCUGACGUGGCGGCUGCUGCUCAGGCGUGAGCGAGCCCUCUAUCAUUAGUCUCACGAUUUGCUGUUGCAGGCCGGUUGGUCUAUGUGGGUCCCAUCCCGUUUCCCGUUUCCCGUUUCCCGUUUCCCGUUCUCUUAACUCUCCUUAAUAUUUUUUACAACACCUUAACUUUUUAAAUUUGUUCUUGCCUUGGCUUAUUUGGUAUGAACGUCGCUUACAUUUUUGUUUACUUGGUCCAACUAAAAGUUACAUUUGUCUAACUAAAAUAAAAUAUACGUUUUUCCUAUAACACAAACGAAUUGUGCUAGCUAGUUCGAGUUUCCAUAGCGUGGUCAAGUCAUAACUAAAAGUCCGGAUAACAACUAAUGUAACUUUUUGUGAAAUUUCAGAGACUACCAGUUACAGGAACAAAAACACAAGAUUCUAAGAAUGUUUUCUUGUAUAUUAGAAAUCUUUUAAACAAUCUUACUAGAUCUGUUUAAUCCGAAUUACUCUCAGUCACACACAACUAGAGACAGACCAAUUUCUAAUUUCAGGAAAUAGAAACACGAGCUGCACCCAAGAUCACUCAUCUUUCUUCAGCUGUCAAGAACAAACCUCUUGCUCUAGCAUUUUCAAUCUUAAACAACUAACCUAUAUAUCCAAAGUAAUCAGGUUAAAUACCCUUAACACAAUAUUUUAUCUUCCUAAUUAAUAUUAUGAUAAGCCCAAAUCUUUCAGAUCUUCUUUGCUUCACGCCAAAGUAAUAUCAUGGACCCAAUAACUAAUCGACACAUCAUCAUCUCAUAACUAACAAGUUACACUUCCACCAGUGUGUGUAACACGUCCUCUGUUUCACAAUCCGCCGAGCUCUUUUUUCCUGAGCUUACACUUUGAGGUUGCAAGAAAAAAAAUCUAAAACUUGUAAUGUAUAACCGUGGAACUAUACUUGUCCUUGCUUCAGUUUAAAAAAAAAACUUCUGUAUAUGGUAUUCACAUACUUUUAGAGGCUCGGUAGUUCUUAUAGUACACCCCACAAUAUAUGAAUUUGAACACAACACAUCGGUAUACUUUAACUUCCAACCAUGAUGCGGGCAUUUCCUUACAAUAACUUGUGCAACUUAUUAAAUUCCGUCGGCAUAUUUUCUUGCAUACUUUCCUUCUAGAACUGUCUAACAUCUACCCGUGAAUUUAGUUUGAUUAAUAAUAUGCAUAGUUUUCUAACAUAUCUAAAAUGAAUAUAACGUUGACAUUAUCAUCUUAUAUUUUUGGUUAAUAAAAGUUUGCUUCCCUAUAAUUUUGAAGCUAAAAAAAGGUCUGGUGUCAAAAUGUCUCCCAAGUUUCAAGGACUGAGGCAAAACCAUCCGCACAUAAUUUUCUUUAGAUAUUUAUUUACUUAUUAUUUUUUUGACUAAGUGCUUAAUAAUUUACUUAUUGUUGAAUUCUGUAAAAACAAUAAAUUAGUUUUUUGAUCCACCAAAGACAAAAAAAAAAAAUAUAUAUAUAUAUAUAUAAUGAAGAAAAAUAGUCCAUGUUAACUAUAUCAAUAUCGUGUAAUCAUUUAAUUAAUUAACCAACUAACCGGAUAAUAUUUUAAAAUACAUAUUAGGUCAGUUAUACUUAUAAUAUAGUUUGUGUUUUGGUAAGUUCAUCUAAUAUCGGAUGGUUCUGUGGCUGGUGUUAGGGACUUUGGGGCAACGAUUUGGUGUGCAAAAGAUCAUAUACUAAUGAAACUGCAAUAAAGAAUUAAAAGAUAAGUAAAUAGAGAGGAAGCAGGAAAAAAAUCGUUUAGUUAUAUAGACAUGUAUAUUUUAUUUUAUUUUGCUUUUGUGUGUUGUUGAAACGAAGCAUAGAAGUGAAGCAUAAGCAAAGGCUGGGAUCCCAAAAGUGUCAUUUUGGUCCCACUUCGCCUCUUGUCCAUUGCCCAUUUGAUAGUGAAAUUAAAUUAUUAUAGGUUAUUCCACACUUUUACAAUUUAUAUUUCUACAUACUAAAAAUGGUAUUUCUAGUUCAUUUGUUGAUUACUAGAAUAUACUGGUCGGAGCUAAGGCAUAAAUGACAGUCGUUUCAUCAAUUAAUCUUCUUUUCGCUGCAGUUGAUUAUAUUUUGGUAUGUAUACUAACUCCGACUGGUGACAUGUAAGUAUUAGAGUUGAAUUACAAUAUGAUUUAUAGUUCGAUGUAAUUUGCAGUAAAAAGUAUGUGGUAAAAACGGUAAGUUUAUGUGGUAAGUUUUGCAGUAAAAAUAAAAGUUAUCAUUUUAUUAAAACUUGUGAUUGGUAAUAUUUUUGAUGUAUAAGUUGAAGUAAGAGUUUUGAAUAAAAAAAUUGAAUAUAAAAACAGAGAAAUAAACAUUUUUUUAUUAAGCUAUAUUUUAAAUAAAUAAAAAUAUUUUUUUUAAAAUAAGUAUAAAAGUUUAAAAAAUAAUUUUCAGUAUAUAUAAUUUUCUAAGUAUUAUAAUAACUACUAAUAAUAUUUAUUUUAAUAUCAAUAAUAAGUUAAAUUAAAUGAAAUAACUUAGGUCAAUAUAUAUAGAAUUUUGUGACUGGUAUUUUUUUGUGAAUUAAAUGUUCGUUCCAAAUCAUGUUUGCAAUCUCAUUUUCAUUAUUAGACAUCUUCAUCCAAAAGAAUAAACAAAAAUUAAUAAGAACAUAGAAAAUCUCAACUUAAGCUUAUUGAUUUCUUCAAGUAAAACCAUAAAAAUAUAUUUGCAAGCAAGAAGAGGACGAGAGAAGAAAACACUCUGUUCACGAUUUUCUUUUGUGGUAGUUCACGAUUUUUCUUUAAAAAAAAUAGAAAAAUCAAUUAAAUUUGUAACUCAGCUCCUAAAACAUGGGAUUUUGGUUGAUGUAGAUUUAUGUUUUGAGUUAGUAAUUUUAUAAAGGGUUUAAGUCAAAGUUGUAACUCAACCACAACACAUCUUAAAUCAAACUUAAAAUCAAAAAAAAUAAAUUUAAUGCAUGAUUGAUAACAUUUUUGAGUUACAAGCUUAACUCAAACUUAAUCAACCUUACCACAUGUCACCAAUCAAACCCUAACUAAUACAAGUUUUGGUUUGGAUUGGUGAAUGGUAAGCUCUCAUUGGGCCACCAACCAUAUGUUGCCUAUUAAAAUAAGAACAAAUUAUUAAUUUCUUUUCAUAUCGAAUCCAAGAUUAUACGUUACAAUUAACCCACAAAAUGGUCAAUACAAUACUUUUCAAUAGAUUCUGCUGCAACUGCAAGCUACCACUAUGAAUAGAUAUAAUAAAGCUAUCAUUACAAUGUUAGAUUCCAGAAGAAGAAUCUCCAUCAAUAUUUAUUGAUACUACUGAUUAAUAGAAAUUACCAUACUGAUUAAUAGAAAUUAUCAUGCUAAAAUUUUCUAACUGAUCAGAUCUGAGUGUGUAAAACUUUCAAGACAACUAAUAUCCUAUAUACGCAUGGGCCUAUCACCUAUGUGACACAAUUUUCUUAUAAAAUCUAAAAAAAUAGUUACCUUCAAAAAUAUCAUGCCACUAUAUAUUAUCUCAUAACCUACAGUGACUAUUUAACUCUUUAUAUUGUUAGUAUAACUGAAACUAAAAUUAAAUGAACGCUCCAAGUCCAAGGCUUUUUAGUUUUAGGGUUUUGAAGGGAAUUUAAGCAUAACCACGUGGUGUAAAUCCAUCUGAUGAGAAGAUAUAUUUCUUCACAACUUGUCCCAAAAGCCCUAAUCAUACGAGAAGCCCUAAGAAUCGAACCACGUGGGAAAGUUUGUUCCUUUCGUCAGUUUCUUGUCACAUGAGAAAAACUUGUUACAUGUGAAAGAUUCUACCCGUAUCCUACUCAUUAUUUGGUUGAAUGGUACAGUUACGAAUAGUUAUGCUGCCGCUAGGCAGAAGCCAAAUCGGUCGUCUAGUUAUUCAGCUAACCAGAUGCCAAAUCUGAAUCCAAAAAGUAUCCAAGAAUAAAUAUUAGAUCAAUUUGUGUCGACUCUCAUGGCAUAUUAAAUGAGUAUUUCAACUGUGACAUUUGUAGUUAUCAAUAGUAAUUGUUUUAAAUGUGUAACUACUAAUUAGUGAUCCAAAUUUCUGAGACAUAUGAUGUGAUCUAAAUAUAUAGAUGUAUGCUGCGAGACAUAAAACGUCGCAAAACUUUUAUUCGAACUAGUAUUAUAUUAAUUAUUCGAUUGUAUGUGUAAACAAGAGAGUUUUAGAUUCAAAGUAUAUGCUGCCCCAGUAAAUAAUUUUUAGAUCCACCACUAUAUAAAAAUGUAAUUAGUAAAGCGCACAUAACAUUUUGAUAGUUAGUAUACUAGUUAUUAUUAAUUAUUAUACGUAACACUAAUCUAAUUAUAUGCAUGACUUUAAUCACUAAGAUAUAAUAUCAUGUACCAAACGAUCAAUUAUUUCAUGCUAUAUGAAUCAUUCAGUACAAAAUAAUUGAUGGUUUGCAAUUCGACGAAUACUAACUCAACAAACUCAACUAUUAAUGGCAAUUAUUAGUUUGGGUUGUAAUUGCACUUCUCACUUCAAGAGGUAGCUAAAAGUAAACCCAACGAGAAGUAGAUAUCUGAAACUUCGAAAGUUAGGAAGGGAUUUUUUUUUUUCAGUUUUCAUGAAAACAUUCUGGAAUAAUCAUCAGUAACCAUAUAUAUAUAUAUAUGUGUGUGUGUGUAUGAGUUGACUGUAUCAGUAUGUAUGUAUUGUGUAUGACUUUAAAUGUCAACUAUAUUGCAAAAAAAUAAAAAUAUGCACACCGACCCUCAUGAUUUCACAGUUGGGAAGCUUAAAGCGUGUGAAUAAUAUAUAUUUUAUUUAUUUUUCCAUUACAUAUACUUUUAAAAAUGUGAGAUGUAAAUGUAACUGGGAGUUAUGAUUGCAUUUUGGUUUAUAUGUCGUCUUCGGAACAAUAAUGCGAAUUAUAGUAGUAAUCAUAAGAUAAAGAAAAUAAUACAAAUUAAAAGACGCAUAAAAGGGCAAGAAAACUAUAAGUUUCUAGGUCUGUGCAUAUUGUGUCUACAGUAUUCACCGACACUAAUUUAUGGUUUUAGAAAUAAGUCUUAAUUCAAGCUUAAGUACAAUCCUUCUAAAAAAAGCUAAGUAAUGGUGAAACUGAACUAUCCAAGUCGCAUGGGAGAUAUGGAGAAGAAUAGAAGAUAGAUAAUAAUAUCUAUGCAUGUGAGGAAGAGAAACCGUCUAAUUUGCUUUGGCUCAUGGGGUACUUGACCACCACAAAGUUUUUCAACUGCACUGAGAAAGAACAUUAUCUGAGCUACGAGUACAAAUAUUUCAAUUAUAUUCACAUGUUUGGAACAAAGAGUGUAUAAAGAGCGUCUAAAAAGACAUCACAGUGAAGAUGUUACCAAACAUGCUUGUGAUUUAACAGAAAUCACAGUGGAGAUACACCAAAAACAUCUCUCUGCAACCUCGCAUCAUAAAACAUGGAAACUUACUUUCUUUCCUUGUCCCAUGACAACUUGUGCAGGCAAAGCAUGCAGCAGAACAGAGAACACAUAUACACUUGAAAACUGCAAAGGGCAAUACACUAAUUAUUGCAUCUAGUUUGGUCAAAUCUACCAAAACUGUUUGAUUCAUUACUCAUUUGAUUCUGAAAUCAUGUGAAAAGCUUGUCCAUCUUGAAGAGCUUCUCCAUUAAAUAGUAAAGGCUAUCUUCUCCCUUGUCACUGAAAUCAUUGUAUUGCUUCAACUCAGACACCUCGUAAAGUUGCUACCGCACAUAGGUAACUUGCCAUUCCGGUCCAAAGAACUUGAAGAAAGGUAAGAAACGGAGUCUAGUGGCUUCAUCAUCCCAUUCAAUCCUUUCAAACCAUUCUUUCUCGUUGUAUUUAAUAACAAACUCUUCAACCCUGAAGACACUUUGAGAAUCUGACGGGAGCUUUCUCAGCUCUGGACACUCUGUUACGUGGAUUGUCUUUAGACAUGGAAAAGGAAGAGGUUCCCAAUAUAUGUUCUUCAACGUAGCUAGAUUGUGUAAGCGUAGACUCUAGUUUCUGGAAAAGAAUGAUAUUAACACUCAUAGCGCUUUCUCCUGGCUUAUUAUUUCUUCUACUAGUCCUGAGUCAAGAACAAGACUAGUGAGGUUUGGAGCAAACAACAGCCACGUUAAAUCCUUGAGACCAUUGCAACUACUUAUAUGCACACUAGAGAGGCUUGGGAUACACGGGAAGAAAUCAGGUGAGAUAUGUAUCACUGAAUCGUUUUUCUGAAGGAACAGAGUUGUGAGUUUCGAGCACUCAGGGCUGCCAGAUACCGUCUCAAUCUCAUUUUCCAUAAGGGACAUCCUGAUCACGUCACUCCAGUUCUUGAUUCUUGGUAUCUCACAUGAUCCGUCUCUGGCUUGCACAGUACAUUUUUCUUUAUGCUUCCCAAGAUCAGAUGCUAUCAAAAGAGUCAUCUCUCGAACCACAUCAUGCAUCUUCACUUGUUCUUUAUUGAUUGCUUCCUCCAACAACAAACAUGCACUGACAAGUAUACCAAUGAUCUCAUAGCCUUGGCUUAAUUCUCUUUCUCUACUCCACCCAUGCCAUACAUACCAACAAUCUCGAGUCCUUCUUUCAUGAGAUGAGUCCAUACCUUCUUGAGCAUUGUUUCUUGACCAACAAUGGUGGGUUGAACAGGCAUCUCAUCCACCUUAGCUACCAGAGUUGUCUCAGUCACCUCAGAACAUAGACUCUCAACCUCCUUCAGCAUCAGAACAACUCUUUUCCCACAAAGAUAGCUCAGUUUCACAUUUAUAGAACAGAACCCACAAAGACACAGCCUUUGAAGCUCAAUGUCAUUAGUGCUAAGCAGAAUACUGAAUUGUUCUCGCUGUUGAGGACAUUCGUAAGCCAUACCUGGACUAGAGAAAGCCUUUCACGACGACCUGUAAACUCUUCUCUGCAAACCCUUCUUUGCACAUCAUCUCGCUUUGCCUUGACCACUUCUAUGUCUUUCUGCAGAGCAGUUAGAUUCGCCACUUGAUCACAUGGCAUGGAGUCAAGAACAAACCUCUCUUUACAGCAAAGAGAGAGGAAUUAAGAGAGAUUCAGAGGGAAAAACCACACAUAGUGGGAAAACAAUGCAAAGGUGUUAUUGUAUUGAUGUCACUGAUGGCACUGGCAAGAAAAGAAAAUCUAGACUUUUCAAUGAUUAUGAUAUUUUUAGUAACGUUGUUCAAUUCUGAUACAUCUGUCAAAAUUUUACCGCUCAAACAUGGGUAUGUAGGGACCAUUAAGACCUGAAUGCAAAUGCCAAGAUCCCUCGCUAGUUCUGCAAAAUCGCUACAACCAUCUUCACAAAUGGCGCUCAGCAUAUAAAAAGAAACUUUGAUAUGCUAGUUUUGGACAAUUGGCAUAAUUUUCACUUUUCACAAAUGGCGCUCACACUAAAAUUUGAUCAAAUCAGCCUAAUUAUAUAAGGUAUAGCUACAGACUGACGAACCAAAUUCAGCUCAGAAACAAAACACACGAAUAUAUUUAGCAAUUACAAAUUGGAACUGGAUGAUUUUUUGUCAAGUUUCCUUGAAAGUAAUAAAAUUCACACCAAACAAACAAUAAACUUAGAAUAGAUAUGAAAAACAUAUGGCAAAUAAUUUGAUAAGAAAACACCAAUUUUUUUGAAUGUGGACGCAAACAGAGCAGCAGACCAAUUUUGGAAAACCUGAUGUGGCUCAACAGUAAUAUCUGAUGGAACGUAGGAAACGCUCUUUAGUGGCUUCAUCUUCCCAUUCAACCGUAUCCAUCCAGUAUCUUUCUCCAAUAUGUAUGACAAGCUCUUCACCUGCUAUGCUGCUGCCACUUUUGGAAUCCAAUGGAAGCUUUCUCAGAUUUGGACACAUUUGUAUGCUGAAUUUUCUCAAACGUGGGAAAGGGAGAGGACUCCAGUAGAUGCUCUUCAGCUGUCGCAAACUACCCACUUUUAAAUGCUCUAGUUUCCGAAAAGGAAUGAUGGUACAUGCCUCCUCCUCUGUGAGAAUAUUAGCAGCUUUUUCUUUGCUGAUUAGAUCUUCUACAUGAGUUAAACUAUCUUUUUUUUUUUUUUUGAAAGAAUUUUAAAUUUAUUCAUAUCAAAAAAAACUUUUGUACAGAAGUACUGCUAAACUGUUAAGACUGAGAAGAAAACAUAAUUCAAUCUUAAAGAAAUCUCAAAAAGAGAAGAAAACUCAGUUCCUCCCCAUCCACACUUCCAUUACUCUCUCAUAUUUUCUGCCAUUCUUCUUCCUAAGAGAGGUGAUUCUAUUCCUCACCAGCUUAUCCAUCCGAGCAGUCAAACAAGUUGCUGGCUGAGAAGAUUCUCCCACUCUUCUAACAUUCCUCUCUUGCCAAAGGCCAUAGAUCACUGCUUGAAAGCUAUAUCUCAAGAGGAUAGUAGCAACUCUCUCCUGCAAACCAUUUACCACCACUUGAGUCACCUGGUUCCAACUGCAACUACCAUUACCCGCCAGAUUACCAGUGACCCCCUUCCACACUUCUCUUGAAUAGAGGCAAUCAAAAAAUAAAUGAUCUCUGGUUUCAUCCUCCACCUUACAAAGCCAGCAAGUAGUGAUGGCUUGAGGAUUCCAUUUAAACACCCUGUCUCCUGUGGCAAGCCUAUUAUGCAUAGCAAGCCACGCUAUGAAAACAAACUUGGGAGUAGCCUCCGAGAACCAGAUCCCUUUGCUCCACCCCACCUUCGGCGACACAUUUCUGGUAAUGUUCCAUGUGUGAAAAGUAAGAAAACCCGGCUUAAAAUCCCCAUUUUCCCUCUUCCACAAACAAACAUCCUCCAAAGUGUUAAGACCUCUGUUUUUCAAUCUCAUCACUUCCUGUUCUAUCUGUCUAAAUACCGGGAGCCGAUGCAGUCUUGAACGAUACAGCUGGAUAGCUCUUUCCACCGUAGUAUACAGAGGUAUACCCAGAGCAAUACAACCACCUUCCCCUGUUAGCUCAAUCAAUUUUCCCAAAGAAGACCAAUUAUCCCACCAGAAGUAAGUAUUUGACCCACUCUGAAUAUCCACUUGAGUUAACUGAUAAGCUAAUGGCCUGAGUUUCAACAGUUUCUUCCACAUCCAAGAUCCCAACAUGAGUUAAACUAUCAACCUUAAGAACCUUAAGGUUUGGUGCGAACAAAAGCCAUGUCAAGUCCUUUAGACCAUAGCAAUCAAAUAAAUGCACUGUAGAGAGGUUUGGGAAGCUUGGAGUUAUUGGACUUUUGUUCAAUGAUGAUGUACUCCUCUUGACAUUUAUCUCCUCAAUUCCACAUAUAUGCAUCUCCAGCGUACUGAGAACCGCCAUAUCUGGAAGAGUCAAUACUAAUUCCUUCUUAAAGUAACAAAUAGAUAUCUCUUGAAUAGCAUUUGCUACUCUAUAAGCUUUUACCAGUUGAUCUGCAACCAAAAUUGACCGGAUAUCUAUGGUCACCACUUCUAAAUGUUCUAAGAGCUGCAGUUCCUCCAUUACGUUAACAGAACAACUGUUAGCUAGUAGUCGGAGUGUCCUCAAACUUGACAAAUUCGAUAUCCCAGCAACAUCCGUAAGUCCCGUUCCCUCCAAAUUCAGAUAUAUAAGCUUUUUUAGCUCUAAUAAGCAUGCAAACCAUCGAUGUAUGCCUCUACUACCUGACAAGUUGAGAUAUCGCAAGGAGACCAACUUUGAUACUUCCUCUGGAAAUCCACGGAAAAGUCUAUUAUUUGAUAGAUCCAAUACCACUAACAUGGGCAUCGACUUGAAGAAUUCACCUGAGAUACUCCCGAUCUCAUUUUUUUGGAAGAGCAAAGUUGUAAGCUCAGGGCAGUUGGGACUUUCAGAAAUAUUUUCAAUCUUGUUGUCCAUCAGAGACAUUCUUCUCACAGAUCUCCAGUUCUCCACCGUUGGUAUUUCACGUAAACGAACACCAGCUUUCACGAUACAUCUCUCUUUAUCCUUCCCAUAAUCAGAUGCUAUCCACAAUGCCAUCUCACGAACCACAUCAUGCAUUUUCACCUUUGAUUUUUCUUUUCCUUCUUCAGUCAGUAAACAAGCCUCGACAAGGGUACCAAUUAUCACAUAAGCCUGGUUUCUAGCCUUCUUUCUACCUUGCUUUUCGUCUAUGAAUCCUUCGCAUAUCCAGUAAUCUACCAACUUCUCCUUUUCUAUUGCAAAAUCUUCUGGAAAUAGAGCGCAGUAUUCAAAACAAGACUUGACAUGCUCACCCUUGAGACUAUCGUAGCUAUACUUCAAGAUUGGAAGAAUAUCGUCUUCCAUACCAGGAAACUCUGCAGCAGAAGAAGCAAGAGUGUCGAUCGCUUCCUCCCAUUCUUCCACCGUCCUCUUGCACGCCAUGUUUUUGCCGAUUAUGUUCAGCGCCAAUGGUAAACCACGACAUUUUCCUGCAACUUGACACGCGAGCUCAAGAAUAUCUGGGUGGCUUUCUAAUGUGAUUUUCCCAACUGUAGCACGGAAUAAAUCCCAAGCUUUGUUGGAUCCCAAACACUUUACUUCUAUUGGAUCAUGAACCCCCAUUUGGCCACAUACUUUCCUAGAACGAGUGGUGAAUACUACUUUGCAUCCAUUGUCCUUUGUCGGAAAUGGGACUCCUAUUUCUUGUAAAUUCACUUCCUUCCAAAUGUCAUCCAAUAACAAGACAAAUUUCUUUGUCUUCAUACGAAUGUGUAAAUCAGUGACCUUCUGGCUUUUCUCUUUUUGUUUCCAAUCCUCUCUGUCAAAUCCUAGCUUCACAGCAAUCGCAUCUUGAAUCAUCUCAACUUGUAGCUCACUGGACACCACAACAAAGAUGACAAUUUCAACCCCGUCAACUGGCUUCAGAAAUUUAUUAUUGAUCUGUUCGAGAAGAGUUGUUUUUCCUACUCCACCCAUACCGUAUAAACCCAUCAUACCGGUUCCAGCAUUCAUGAGGUGCUCCCAUGCCCUUCCAAGCAUCUUUUCUUGACCAACAAUCGUUAAUGGUAAAGGCCUCUUCACUGCCACAGGUAUCGUAGGUGGCCCGACCACCACUUCAAACACUCCUUUAGAUUGGGCAUCUUCAACUUCUUUCAACAUCUCGAAAACCCUUUUCCCGUAGCUAUGACUUGAGCUCAAGUUUUUCGUACAAAGACCACAAAGACGCAACCUUUCAUGUUCUUCUCUACGAGGAAGAAGCAACUCAUAGACUUGGUUUUGGAUAUCCUCGACACUCGUAAGCCAUACAUCAACUUCGUUAAGCCUUGGUAGACCCUCACUUUCUUGCCUCUGCACCUUUUUCAGCACAUCAGCUCGCCUUGCUCUGAGUACGUUCAUGGUUUUCUCCAGAGCCGCCAGAUUCUUCUUAAGGUUGCAAACAUAACUGACUUCACCGCCAAUGCAGCUACAGAGAUGGAUAAACACUUGAUCAAGGGCACACGUGAAAAAACCAGCCAUAGUUGAAACAGCUAGCCUAGCCUUAUCUGCGAUUUGCGAAUUAUGAAACUAAGAUGUUAAGAUCUUAAGAGUUUGAUGGUAAUUUUGUGAACGAGUCUAAGUCAUAUAUCUAAGUAAAUUACCAACAAUCAAGACAACGCAAUUUAAUAUCCUAAGAUUCCAACAAUGUCAAAGAGUAUACUAAUUAUUAUACCCAACUUGGAAUGUGGUGAACAUGUUUUUAGUCCAAGUCGUCGCUAUAUUUGAACCAGCAAAAAUCUAGAGUUUUCGUGUAAUGUUCCAAGAAUAACAAUUAAUAUAGAUGAUGCUAGUUGCUGGCGUUAUUAAAAACAAUAGAAAGUUGAUGCAUAAAGAAUAGGAAUGAUUGUGUGACUCUUAUGCACGACUUACCGACGGCCCGCGGGAUCAAAAGUUGGGAAGUCUACCAUUUCGAUGAUCAGAAUGCGAAACAACCUUUUUCUAAUGGAAGAUUAGUUUCACCAGUUUUCCAAUCCGAGUCCACAACCCCAAACCGGCCAGUUUUAUCCAAUGGAACUUGUUUAUAAAACAUGUUUAGAAAUUAGGGGGUGAUUGAUUGGACUGUAGGAGAUGACUUUAGAUUUAGUUUUUAGUUAAAGUCUCUACAAUCAUCAAUCAUGCUUUAUAUUGGUUUUUAAAGCUACAGCCAAAAAAUAAAAAAAAGUGGCUGUGACAACCUUAUUUUCUAAAGCCUCAUCUUUUUAACAGUAGGAAAUUUUCAAGCUACAUCCCCUAAAACUACAUCAAACAAUCCUAUAGCCUAAAUUCUAAAGUAAAGUUUGUACAGUUGAACCAAUCACCCAGAGAUAGGGUCACAAUAUAUAGAUACAAUGUAAGAGAAAAUGCAAAUGAGAUUAGCAGGGAAUACUUUUGUUUGUUUAGCAGUAUUUGUAACAUUUGUGGCUCUUAGUCCUAGCUCAUUAGUUGAAGUUGGUAAAGAAGACGAGUGUGUUACAACUCCUGAGAAGCUCUCUAAUAAAUACCUCUUGAAUAGAUUUUACAGCUCCUAACACUGGAGCGUUUACCAGUUGAUUCACAACCAAAUAUAACUAUUGUUCCUUCAUUCCAUUAAUUCUAUAGUGUCACUAUCCAUUUGGCAUUUCAAAACUAUUUUCACAAAAAAUUGACAACUCCAUGAAAAUCAUUUUCCUGAGGAUAAACAUCCAAAUACUAUCGAGCUCACAUUAUGAUUCAGAAAAUGUGAAACAGAAGAGACACAGAAGGAUAAACAUACCAAUUCAGAGCGCAUGUAUGAGUUACCUGAAACUGAGUGAAGGUAACAAACAAAGUGCAGAGAGCUUUCUCAGCUUUGGACUUCCAGUAGUUACCCAUCACUCCAUCAGAGAUGGAUUCAGGACUAAGGGAAUGUAUGGUAUGGGAGGAGUAGGCAAAAGCCUAUUUCAAUCUUACAGACCACAACCUUAUAAAUCCAGCAUCUGUCUCACAACACUCCAUUGUUGAUCUGCGUGAAACGUGUGAUUUUGCCACCCCACCCAUACCUACAGACGCGUAAUCUCGAAUCCAUCUCUGACGAGAAUAUAAACACUCGACAAAACUGAUACACAUAAUGACACUGAGACGUAGUAACAAUCUCCAAUCAACUGCACAACACAGAGAGAACAGAGCAAUACACUCAUCAUUAGCUAAUUCGAAUUAAGUAAAAAAAAUAACUAGCAAUAUAUGAAACGAUAAAGACCAAGAACGCGAAUUGUUAAAACCUAAAACGCGAAUUGUUAAAACAACAGAAGUACCUGCCAUACUCAUCAUCAGUGGCGGAGCCACAUUGUGUGAGAGGGGGGCAUUUGCCCCCAAUAACUUUUUAAAAUUCCAUGUAAAUCUCUCAAUAAAUUCAAUAUGCCCCCAUUGUUUUGAUCAAAUAUACUUCUAAUCCAUCAACUAAUUUUACUCAUGCCCCCAACAAAAAAAAUAUCUGCCUCCGCCCCUGCUCAUCAUCUAUGUCAUUUCCGAGCUUAUCGUCUCUUCGCCGAGGAUUCGAUCCCAAGCCUCCUUAGCUUAACCCACGAUGGAAGUAGAUAUGUUGGGUGUAGAUUCGGACACCUUCCACCGAGUGACUAUCUCUUUGGGUUACGAAGAAGAGACGGGGCCGUUAUUAAUAUUGUGGCCCAAAAAGCCUUAACGGAGUUAUAUUCAUUCAUAACCUCCACAAGAGAUUUUUUUCUUUUUAAUAUGUGGAAAGUGUUAUCAACUAAGGGUAAGACUGGUUUUCCCGCUACCACCCGCAAACGCAGCUUUUGCGGUUGGUUGCGAUUGCUGGCGUUUUGCAACAAUCGCUCAAACCGCUCCAAAUCGUUCCAAAUCGCUCUGAACCUCAUAAAUUCAAAAGCUGGUUCCAGCUAGCGUUUGCGGUUGCGGGCGUUUGCGGGAGGAUAAAAAAAAAUUAUUUUUUUUCCAAAACAAUAUAAAUACAAAAAUAAAAAAAUUCAAUAAAAAAAUUAAACUGAAAUUAUAAAAAUGCUAAAAUAUAUCAAUUAAAUUUUAAUUAAUAUUAUAAAACUUUAAAAUAAAAAUAUUUUCUAUAUUUUUAAAAAAUUUAAACUAUAACUUUCUAAAUAUAAAUUUUAUAUUUAUUAUAAUAUUAUUAUUUUUGAUAUUUUUAUAAUUGUAUAAAAUGUAAAUAUUGUUAAUUUAUUAUUUAAUCGCUGCUGCAUUUGGUAGUUAACCAGUCAUAAGUAUCCCGCAAACGCACCAAUUUCUAACCGCAGAACCAGUCGUACAAAUCUCUUAAAACCGCUAGAAACCGCAACCACCCGCAUCUGCAAACUCCCGCAACCGCAACCGCAACCGCUGCGGUUGAACCAGUCGGACCCUAAAUGAUUCACAAUGAUCAUAGAAACUGUUAUUCUGGUAAUUUGAAAUAAUUAGCAACUCCUGCUUCCUUGGAACAAAGAAAAUAUGUGACUUGAGAGAAAGAAUAAAAGUUAUAACGUUUUGUACAUACAGUAUUCCUAGACAAUAUAACAAUUAUGACAAAUCAUUCAAAACAUUCAAAUAAAUUCGUAAGCUAACGUAAACAAACUCCAGCUACUGGACUGUGUAUAUGAGAACAUGCAGAGUUUGCAUCUAUCAAAUCAAAUUUUGGAUCUCCCAUGAUUGCAUUGGAUUAAAAGUAAUAUUUUUGCCUUUACCAUCUAUAUAUAACAGACAUGAAGAUGUUACCAACAAGCUUGUGAUUUAACAGAACACAAUUAAAAGAGAUUCAUAAAAGGGCAAAAAAAGUAUAAGUUUCUAGAUCUGUGCAUAUAGUGUAUAUAUACAGUAUUCACCGACAUGAAUUUUUUUAAUUAGAUGUGAAAAAAAAAGUCUUAGAAUAUGUAUGUGAGAAAGAGAAACUGUCCAGCUUUGCUUUGGCUCACGGGAUAAAUUUGCGUUGAUUUCUUGCUCCUUUGAUUUCGAAAUCAUGUGAAAGGCUUGUUCAUUUUGAAGAGCUUCUCCAUUAAAAAGUAAUAUGUCUUCUACCUUGUCGUUGAAAUCAUUGUAUUGCUUCAACUCUUUAAGUUGCUACGGCAGCACAUAGGUAACAUGCCAUUCAUGUCCAAAGAACUUGAAGAAAGGUAAGAAACGGAGUCUACUGGCUUCAUCAUCCCAUUCUUUUUCUUUGUGCACAAAUUCAUUAAAUCUUAAAAGAGGCCUCAGCCCAAGAUCCGGCCCAAACUGGGUCCAAUACAAGAGAACAGCCUAAAGUGGUGUUUGCCAAACCAUCGGCAUCACCAAUACAUCGACGAGAAAUAAGAAGAAACAAGAUAUCGACAAAAUCAGAAGAGAGCUGUUGGAUAUCUUUCACAAUACCAUAGAUCUCUUUGCUCUGGUUGUCGUUGUUAAUAGCUCUAACGAGCGCUGAGUUGUCAGAGAGCAUCUUGAGUGUUGGUAACUCAAGGUUCUCUGCGGUGAUAAAGCCGGAUUGAAGCGUUAGAGGCGUUAGAGCCUCUGCUACCACCGAAGAGUGUACAGAGUCCUGCCGGGUUAAUCCUCGGAUGUUGCUUGUUCCGGAUUGUCUUGUGAAGAUCAAGGCCUUGGCUAUGCUCCUAGAAAAGCUGGAUUUGGCUAUGCAGUCCAUUAAAUAAGCAAGACCAACUGUAAUACUGACAUUGAUAAUCCGGGAGACUAGGUGAAUCUCAACUGUGCCAGAAAUCAUAUUGUUCAGCAAGGAAGACCAUGAGACGGUUGCAUACGUGCGACUGAGGCUAGACAACGAUGAGCUAUGUAUGCUGUCUUGGUCUGAAAGUUCCACGAGGGUGUCUUGGUCAUAGAGAAAUUCGCCCUGAACUCCAGUUCUAGAGCACUUGACUUCAAUUCCCGGAGGUAUAUCUGAUGGAUAGGCGGUGGUUGAGUUCAAACAGGCACUCCAUCCUCCAACAUUACCGUGUCGGGUCCAGAGUUCUAUGGAAACCAAACCUAGUCGCUUUUCAUCAUUCUUUAUCAAGCUAGACAUGAGAGACCAAGUACCUUGAAGUACAGAAGUUGCUGAGCUAAGGGCAGCGAAGUUGAUGCGUUGUGUAGUGAAAGCUGAGGUCAUGCUGAGAUAAUUGCCACAAUCAUGGUAAGGUUGGAGCCAUACGCUUCUGCUAAACACAACUCUAAGCCUGCAAUCGUUUGUUUCCAAACGGAGCCAAUAGGUCAGAGAAAUUGAAGUAGUGGGCUUGGAACUUCCCAUGUACAGAAGAGAAUAACAGGUGAUGACUCUGAGAAGUUGAUUUUUUAAAACAUAGCAAGGUUCAGAACCGGUUUUCACAAGUCGGAAGCUUGGAGAGCUUGGGGCCGCUACAUCAUGCGACGGAAGAGAGGGGUUGAGGACGCCAGAGUCCGGUGAACAUACGACUUUGGAGAGAAAUCGUCCCUUGGACACACAGAGGAAGACAUCACCAGUAGUUUCAGCCUCCAUAUCUGAGACAGAGGACUCCAGAUCUACAACUUCGGUAACCAUAUGAGGAGAGGUGUAUAGGGAUUCAUCGACGAAGGGAAGAAAAGAGAGGGUGAAGACUGCAUCUGAAGGGUCUGGAGGCUCAGGCGGCUCGCUUGGAGUUAGAGUCUCGAGCGGUACAGAAAGUUUACACGGCGGCGGAUCCAGCGGAGGCCUUGAACGCGGCUGAGGCGGACUGAACGUCGGAGCUGAAUCGGAGAGGGGCCAUACAGGGCGGCGCCUAGGGAGGCGGGCCUGGGAGCGUUUUGUCUAGGGCGAACUCGAGUUUUUUUGAUAUGUUUCUUCCAUCAUCCCAUUCUAAUCAUUCUUCCUCUUUGUAUUUAAUAGCAAACUCUUCAAACCCUGAAGACACUUUGAGAAUCCAAUGGGCGCUUUCUCAGCACUUCAACCUCAUUUCCCAUUAACGACAUUCUUCUCACACUAUUCCUAAUUCUUGACUAAAAGCAAAACCAGUUGGCACGAUACAUCUUUCUUUUUAUUUUUCAUCUACAAGCUAUUCUUUUCGUAAAAAUGAAAGAGAAGCACAAUCGCUAAGAUUAUCUCAAUGGGUUUACGGUUCAUUAGACGGAAGCAUAAACAGAGAACAUACAAAUUUGCAAUCUAUAGUUCAUGCAAGACAACAACAAACCCAAUCUGUAGAACUGCAAUCAUCUUAGAAAGAUACAGGGUUUACUAACAAGCAACAUUUUUCUCUGAAAAAAAAACUUUCACUUGAGAAAGGAUUAAAAAUUCUUCAUAGAGAAAAAUCUUCACAUGUGGCGCUGCCAAUUAUAUAGGGUGUAACAAUAUACUGACGAACCAGAUUCCAGACUCAAACACAAA
rnacentral:lncRNA from 1 species